rnacentral:lncRNA from 1 species
UUUUUUUUUUUUUUUUUUUUUAGUGAAAGGCUUAAAUUAACCAACCUAAAAGUGCAUGUAAAAACCAAUUGAACUAAUUAGAUUUUCAAUUAUAUUUAAUUUGAGGCUGUUUCAAAAUUCACUUUAAUUUUGAUCUAAUUCGGUGUGAUUUUCAAAUUAAGAUAAUCGUGUAUGCUUAUCUACCUAAAAUUAGUUUAAAAAGUUAUCCCUCAUUUUAUUAAGUAACACCACUGUGAUUAAAAAUUGUGAAGCAAAAUUUCUUUACAAUAUCAUAGAUAUUGAUUUUCUUACUUGGUCAAACAUGUAAAAAAUUAAAAUUUUUGUAAUUAUUCAUAAGUUCUAUGAAAUAUAAACUACAAUUUAACAAUUUUAUUUGAAUCUUAUUUGGUCUAAAUGAAUUUUUUAUAAUUUAUGUAUAAAUUCAUUUUUUUUUUAUAUUUAGUGUAAAUCAAAAUUCAUUGGAGUUCAGAUUUUUGAUUUAUUAAAUUAAUUAUAUUUUGAAUUAAUUUUUUUAAAAUCGAUAAACUUUGUAAAAUAAUUUUUAAACUUAAAAAGGUAUACAAAUUACUAAAAUCAAUGAUUUUAAAUAUAAAUUAUCUAAACUCAGAUAGAUUUAACUUUAUUAAAAUAUUUAACUUAUUUUUAACUAUUUAUGCAUCCACAAUAAAAGAUAAAAUUCUAACAUUAAAAAGAUAUAUACAAUAUAAAAGAGAAAUUAUAAUAAAUAGUUAAUAUUGUACAUGAAAAUAAAGAAACAUAAACUACAAUUAUUAAACGCACAACAGAAACGUGCAAUGCACGUUAUAAAAAAAAUUAGAAUACAUUUUUGAAUAUUUGAUUAUAUUCUUAUUAUAAUUUAAAAUAUUCUAUUUAGGAGAGAAUUAAAAAAGAAAAAAGUAUAUUCUUUUAUAAUAUUAUUUUUUUUAUGUUUAUAUAAUUUGAUUGGACAUAUUUUUUAAAAAAUAAAUUUUCAAAUAAAAUAUAUGUAAUUAAGUCUUUCAAAAUUUUAACUUUUUACUUUUGAAAAUUUAUUUUUAAAUAAAAUUUAACAUAUGUGUGCGUAAUAAUGAAUAGUUGCAAAUUUUAAUUUUAAAAGGCUAAUGAUAAAAAAAAAAAGCCUGAACUUUAACCUUUUUAUUAGUUCUAGCCAGUUCUUUUAAUUUUAUCAAUCAAUAUUGAGUACUUAAUUUUCUGUAUCAAUUAUGUUCUCCAUUUGUGUUCCAUCAAUUUCAAGCUGAUGUAGAAGUUAUCUCUCACAAAUAGGCUCUACAACAUCCAAUGUCAACUCUAAGUCACAUAUCCACGUAUUUAUAUUGAAAAAAAAGCUUGAACUUUAAAGUUUUUAUCAAAUUUGGCUAGUUAUUUUAAUUUUAUCAAUCAAUACCGCUUAUUAAUUAAUCUCUAUCAAAUGAUUUAGUUGUAUUGAUAUUUAUUCAAUUACAUAGUUUAUUAAUUAACUAUGUAUAUUAAGUGUCUAAUGUGAUUAAUCAAUUAAAAUUCAAUUUUACUGCAUAGUCUUUUUUCAAAAUAUUAUUUUAAAAUUACUUAAAAAUGUUAUCAUUAAUAUAUUUAAAAAUAACAUUUUUAAAAGACUUUUCAGUAAAAUUAAAUUCUAAUUGAUUAAACCUAUCAUACACUUAAUAUAUAUAGUUAAUUAAUAAAUUAUUUAAUUGAAUAAAUAUCAAUAUAACAAAAAUCACUUGAUAGAGAUUAAUUAGUACAUGAUAUUAAUUGAUAAAAUUAAAAAAACUGGCUAGAUUUGAUAAAAAAACUUAAAGUUUAGGUUUUUUUUUUAAAUAUACGUGGAUAUAUGACUUGAUAUUGACAUUGGAUGUUAUAGGGCCCACUUGUGAAAUAUAACUACUACAUUAACCUGAAAUAGAUGGAACACAAACAAAAGAUAAAAUUGAUACAGAAAACUAAGUACACAGUAUUGAUUGAUAAAAUUAAAAGAACUGAUUAGAAUUAAUAAAAAAAAGUCAAAGUUCAGGUUUUUUUUUUUUUUUUUUUUUGUCAUUAUGUGUCACAACCCAUUUCCAUUAGCCGAACCGGCAUUAGGGCUCAGAUAGGCUUAAGGCCACCGAGGCUCGUAAUAAGCCUGAAACAUCGUUUAUCAAUCGACAACCCAAUAGAUAUAUCUCAAGAAGACAAGCCCAAUGAAAAUAUUCAACUAGACUGUUCAAAAUAAUGAUAACAAUCCAAACCCUUUCAAAGGCCCUAAUCAAAUAUAAAUAUCCAUAUAUAUCGAGUGACUCAAUAAUCCUACAACUGCAAAGUUCAAAUGACAUCUAAAAUAGAAUUGAUUCUCAUACAACCACCAACAUAAUCAAAAUAAUUACAGAAAAAUAAAGAAUACAUUUCUUGCUCUGUGAUGAAAGAAAUAGAGCUUCUGCAGGAGUGGGGGGAAUCUACUUCUUGAAAAAUUUAGAUAAAAAUUGGAUGAGUUUUUCAACUCAGUGAAUAAUAAUAAAUAAUGCAUAAGACAGACAUUCACGUGAAAAACAACCUAAAGUACUAAAAUAAAUACAUGAGGAGUCAAGCAUAUGACACAACAUCAACAUCCACAUGUAAUUAAACCUUUAUAUAAUCAAACAAGUGGAAAUUGAUUAGCGGGGUCAUCGAAACCCCUGACGAGUUGUCCUGACACAUGGCCCGUCCUCUCAAAUGUGUGCACCAGGGAGCCGAUAUCUCAUAUAUGGCCGAUCAGUCUAAUCCUCACUUAAUCAGCCCUCUCAUUUUUUUUUAUACUCUCUUUUCUUUUCCAUACCAACAAGCGUCCACCCUGUGGUUUUCCAUAUCAUAUAUCAUCAUAUGCACACGGGGCGCCAAUCUCUCCAUACAUGGCUGACGGUAUCGAAGGCCGCCCUCAUAAACUCAUGGUGACUCACCUCCUUCCAAUUCCACACAAAUUUCACAGCACAAGUAAUCAAACAAUUCACCAAGUAUAAUGCACCAAAUCAAUAAUUAAUAUGCAAUAUAAAAGAAUAUAAUUAAGAUGUAAGAAAAUGUAUAUAAACAUAAUCAUACAUUAAUAAUAACAUAGUAAUAUAAUAAAAUAAAUGCUAAGUUAUCUUUUAAUUAUUCCUUUAUAAAGUAAAUAAUAUAUGCAUAAAAAUGAUAGUAUGCACUAUUUAUUAUUAGUCACAGUGAUAGAGAAAAGAAGAAGCUCUAGCUUGGAUUUCACCGCCCUCACGAACCCGGAUGAUCUAAAGAAUUUAAGAAUGCAAAGGAAGGAAUUGAAUUAGACAAAGGACUAACUUAAGUAAAGAAUUAAGGAAUUAAUUUAAUAAAUUAUAUAUGUAUCUAACUGUCAUAAUUAGACUAGAUUUUACCGAAGUUUCGGCAACAUCUCCCCUAAAAAUAGGGACUAUCUACCUGCUAGAAUAAUACAAUAAUAUUCAAUAUCUCAAUCAAUACACACAGCCCAUCCAUCGGGCGAUCAAUCAGUUAAAUUUUCCUUCAUCCAAAUAAAAAAUACUAAUAUUUAAUCAUCAAUACAAAACUUUAAUUUUACUACAUAAGGUUAAGCAAAUAAGCACAUAGCUAAAUAAAUAAAUAAAUGAAAUUGAUAUUGGCUUAACCUUUACAUCCAACCAGUAUAACUAUCCAAAUAUAUAUAUAUAUAUAUACCUUUAAUAAUCGUAAGCAACUAUUAUUUAUAAACUCUUUUAUUUCCUUCAUUAUUAAUUAAGAUUUCGUAAUUCCAUUUAAUGAUCCACAAAUCACCGUAUGUACCAUACGUGAUCAUAGCUAACGAUCCCAUUUUAAUCAUUUAUCAAAUAUAAAUAAGCCUUUAUAUCCAUUGACCAACACGGAAACUUAAAAAUUACACUCACUUACAUAUGUUAGUCCUUCUACAACAACUCAAGGUCUCAACAUAAUGGCUGCCAAUACACAAAUUCAAAGUUCUUCUACACUAGAAUCUUGGAUUACACAUAUACUAACCAAUUUCUUGCAAAAAAAAUAAAAUUAGAACCUCAACUGUACUAUAUCAAGCAAUAAUUUAAAAGAAUAAUUAAAAAAACAGUUGCUGUGAUUUCAAGAUACUUCUCAUUCCUACCCAUAACUUGGUGUAAACAUGACAACCCACUCAACCUCAUCAAGAAGCUCAAAUAACAGUUCCCAAAUAGCAAUGUUCAAUAAAAUUUCUAAGCAAUUUACACAGGCAGUAGUGAGAAAUGCUCAUUUCUAUACCAAAAUUACUUUAUACAUCACAUCCCUUUAAUAAAUUUAAAGAAUUUAUAACUAUACUGAUAAUGGUUAGAAGUUAAUCACCUAGUUACAAAAUAGCGUGGGAAAUUUUCCGGUUAAAUGACCGGAAACAAUUUCAAUUUCGCAAAAUACGCCACUGCCGAUGAUAGCUUGGCUAGAAUUUAUGAGAAUGGUGACCGGAAAUACGCUGGUGAGGAGUUGAAAACGAAAGAGGAGAUAGUUUCGCCGGCUGGUCUCGCGGAAAAAGCUAGAAGAAUGCUGACGACGCUACUGCCCGAUCGAAACGCAACUGCAGCUCUUGUGUUAGGUGCGGUGGCCGAAAAAGAAAGGAGAGGGAGGUAUCGAAGCUUCGCCGUCGACGAGACGAAGCUAGAGUCGACUGAUCGUACCGGAUUCCCUGGAAAAUCGAAGAGGACAGUUGAGGGUGAGGCUAUUCUGAUCGAAAGAGCCAUCUCCUUGCUGCUGCGCUACAAUCCGACCGGAAGGAGAAAGAGAGUGCGGCGGAGAAGCUCUGAUCGGCCGGCUAAGAGUGAUGUCGCCGAAAAAAUGAAAACAAGGAGAAGGGAGAGCUGCUGUCAGCGCUAACGGGAAGGAGAGGAAAUUUGUGCUAGGACAAAAUGGGUAUUUUCCAUAGUCUACGAGUUUCUAGUUAGCUCUAAGAUGGUUUGGGUUUGAUUUGGGUUCGGCUUGAUCCAAAUCAUGAGGUUAGCUUGGUUGUUUUAUUGGUUUGUUGAUUUUCGUUAGGUUUGAAUUAGUUUAUAAAAUUUGGUCUACCAAUAUAACAUUCAUUUACGUUAAGUAAUUUCAUAGGGUAUUAGUUAAUGUAUUUUAAAUAUAAUAACAUUUUAUAAUAUCAUUGGUUUAGAAUUAACAAUUAAAUUUUUAAAUGAAAAAUCUUUAAAAAUAAAUUUAUGGGUCAUUUCAUUAGGCUAUUUUAAAAAUAUAUAUAAUAUCUAUAUAUCUAUAUGAAUGCUGAAAUAAAUAAAUUGUUUAAAGUGUUGUCUUUAUUCAGUAUUGUGUUUUUCUUUUUUCUUGGAAUUUUAAUUUUUCAUUUUAUUUUUCCGUAUUUUGAUUGACCAUAUAUUCAUGUCUAAUUGAUUUAAUAUUUAAUAUCUUAAAGAUUAUUUUUGAAAUUAAAUCAUAUCAAUAUCUUUAUAUCUAAUCCUUAUAUAUACUCAUCUUUAAAUAUCUUCAAAACCCUUAUCUUCAUUCAAAUCCGUUAAGAAACAAAUCAAGAUUAAUGCUAUUUUACGCCCCUCUCCCUCUAUGUAUAUAAUAUGGUUUAUAUUAAUGACUAGACAAUCCUUUGUGCUUCGCACGCCUAUCUAAUAAUGAUAUUUUUCAUUUCAAAUGCAAGAUAAAUGUGUUGAGUAAAUUGUAGAAAUUAUUUUUUUAGAGAAAUAAUGACUGGAAUUAUUAUUAUAUAUAAAGUCUUGUAGGUAAUUCAAAUAAUUUAAAUACUUAAUUUUUAUUUUUAUAGAGAUUUAUCUAAUUGGAAGUAUAUAAUUAAAAAAAUCUAUUAAAACACAAUAGUUAAUUCAUCAUUGCAUAAAAUAAAUCAAAUCCUUUGAAAUUAUACAUAUUUAAAUUCCUACAAAAAAAAAAUAAUAAAACUACGCUAAGCAAAAUAUAAAAUGAAAAAGACAAAAUCAAAUAAACAACUCAAACAAAGCAAUGAAAUACAAUGUUCUUCUUUCAACCUAAAGCAAUUAAAGUAAAUCAUUAAGUUAAGCUUUCAACAAUAAAAAGAAAUUUAAAAAUUUUAUAUUAAAAAAAGAAAAAUAGAAUAGUGAACAAAAAGAGAAUCUUGAACUUUCUGUUUAUAUAUGACGAUAUAUAAAUAUUCAAAUUCUUAAUUAGCAAAAAAAAAAAAAUUAAAAGCUAAAACCACUAAUUUCACAUCAACCCAAUUCUUUGAAUUUUAAAUCAAAAUAAGAAAACCAUACAGAUAGUCUUUUUUUUUAUGAUAAAUUUGAUAUAAUCAUAUAAAUAAUAAAUUGAAUUCAAGAUCUCAAAUAUUAUAGACUUGAAAAUAUUCAACUUAUCAUAAGGAAAAAAACUAAACUUUUUUUAUCCUUAUAAUUUACUCAAAAAAUGAAAAUUAUAAUUAAAUAAAUCAAAAGAAAAAUAUAAAAAAGAAUACUAUCCACCAUCUUAUCUCAUUGUUUUUAAACUGUAUUUUAUAAUGUAAAUUUUUGAAACACAUGGUUUUUUUAACAUUUUUCAAAUUAUUAAAAUUUUAAACAUACUACGUUUGAUUUGAAGUUUAGACUUCAUAAAAAUAAAAGCUUUUAUAUUUGUAAAUUAUGGAAAUUUAAAAAUUUAGACAUUAUUUUGUUUUUCUAUCACAUAUUUGAUUUAAUUUCACUUUUUAGAAAAAGCGUCACAUCAGGAUUGGAGAAAAUCUAUUAAUUCUCCUCUAUAUAUAUAUAUAGUGAUGAUGUGAGUAAUAUUUUGGAUGAAAUUCUUAUUUAUUGUAAUAUCGAAGCAUGUGAUAAUAUAUAAUUUGACAACAAAAGUAUGAAACCAUUUAAUUUUAUUCAUAGAAAUUUCUCCUAAUGCAAAUCAAUCUCUCUCUAUAUAUACAUACAUAUAUAUAAAAGUUCAUCAUGAACAUUUUAUAUGAUAUAUGUUUGGAUGAAUGGUUUGACACUCUUCUCUUUUAGGUGAGGUCGAGGGUUCCAUUCUCAUGAAUGAAGCAAAUAUCUAUCGAGAGCACUUUAUCCUUUCUUGGGCCGAUCUGGUGUGAACAAGAUUUAGUUCUAGCUCGUGGACUUGGAAUAUCUGUGGUUAAGAUGAAAAAAAAAAAUACAUUUUAUUAUUUGAUUGGAUAUAAUUUUUAAAAAUUAUUUUUUAAAUAAAUAAAUAUAUAUAAUAAAAAAGAAAAAAAAUAUACUCUUCUUUUUUUUUUUUUUGUAUGGUUGUAGGAAAAAUUGUGUGUUUAUUUAGAGAGGAUAUAACGUUUGUUUUAUGUAAUCUUUUUUUUAUUACUUAAUUAAUUUAUUUAUUUAUUUUAAAUUUGCAACUUAAAACAACAGAAAAACAAAUACUUGAAUAAACUCAUUAACUGACCAAUAUUAGAUCAUAGCAUGAUUUGAUUUGUAAUGUUCAUUUAUUGACUUGGUUUUCUUUUGUCCAUCAAAAUCAAAUUUAAUUAAAUUAUAGCAUUUCCAGAGUUAUUGUUGAAAUUCAAAUUGGUAAUUUUUAAUAUAAUUUAUUUCUUGUUAUAUGCUGAGUUCUUAAAAGAGUUUUAUUCUUAAUAAAAUUGUUAUUUUUAUUUUCUUUUUUUUAUUGAAUUAAUUUGUACCCACUAUCACUUUAAUUUAAUAAGAAAUUUAUAUCUCUUUUGCAAUAAAUAGAUGACCUCCUGAUUAAGCAUUUUAAUUUUCUUGAUAUUUUUUCUUUUAUAUCCUAAAUAUGUUUGACUUUAAAGCAAAUAGUGUUUCUGCAAUUCAAAAAACAAGAACUAUAUAUUUUUAUUUUGAGUCUUUUUUGGGGUUUCAAGAGUUUGUGUGUGUAUUUAUGUAUUCCUUUUUCUAAUGCACCAGGUAAGUAAUUGUAACAAGUUGUUUCCAUGGGCAGACCGGUACUAGGGCGUAGGUAAACUUAAGGCCCUCGAGGCUCGUAGUAAGCCUAAACUAUCAACCCAUACAUGCCACACAAAAAUAUUAGGAACAGUAAGCGCAUAUAAAUUUGUAUAUAUAUAUAAUAAUCAUACAAUCCUGGCCAAUCUUAAAUAUCUCGAGUAAAAUUUAGUUCGGGCUUAAUAAUAAUACAUCUCAUUCGUAAUAUGGGCUACUGGUUUAUAUGUAUUUAAAUAAACAAUAAGAAUAUUCAUAGGUUAGCACACCUAUUAAGACCAAAUUAAAGAUAUGCAAAUCCUAUAACUGUGGAGUUCAACAAUAGUUGGAAGUAAUAGAGUUACACAUAUAACUAUACACAAAUUAACUAAUUGCAAAAAUUAGGAAUUUACUUUUAUAGCCCUGCGGAGAAGAUUGGAGAGUUUUAGUUGGUCGACGGACUUCUACUUCCUGACAAGUUAAGUAAAAGAAGAGUGAGUUUCAGAACUCAUUGAAUAAUAAUAAAUAAUGCAUAUCACAGGCAUUCACGCGAAAUGCACCCUAAGAUACUAAAAUGAGCACACAACCAAUCAAUCGUAUGGCACAACAUCAACAAUCACAAGUAAUUUCAUAUUCAAAUAAUCAAGGAAGUGGAAAUUAGUCAGUGGCGCCACCGAAAACCCCCGACGAGCCGUCCUCUCAUAUGGCCCGCCCUCUCAAAUGUGUGCACCAGGGAGCCGAUCCCCCAUACUUGGUUGACCGGUCUAAUCCUCACUUGACCAGUCCUCUCCUAUAUUCACUUUGUAUAUACUCUCUUUUCCUUUUCAAAUCAACAGGCGGCCACCUCGUGGUUGUCCCAUAUCACAUAACAUUAGGUGCACAUGCCCUCUCAUAAGGUUUUCAUUCGGGUUUCAAUUAAAAUGGGGUUGAUUCAACUAUUUAAUUAUAUAUAUACAUUUAACUAGUUAAAUAAAUUCGUAGGGUGUUAAAUUAUUAAAAAUUUUAAAUGAAAAAUUUUGAAAAUAAAAAUUCGGCUUGUUUCAAUCACCCCCUUAUAAAAAUUCGUCCUCGAAUUUAGAUAUAAACAAGGUAAGGGCAAUAUAGUAUGCAAAGAGCAUAUAAGAACAAUAAAGAAAGAUUGUAGUCCAUACAAAGAGAAAUAGUUUGAAUUCAAUUACCAGCAAGACAAGAGUACUUUACGUAGAAGGAAAAAGAUGUGGGUAUUCCUUUUGCAUCUCAGCCGCCACUUCCCAUGUGCAUUCCUCCAUAAAAUGGUUCCUCCACAAAACUUUGACCAUAUGAAUCUCUUUAGAUUGGAGUUUAUGAAUCUGGAAGUCGAGAAUUCUAACCGGCGCUUCCUCAUAUGUCAAAUCUUCACCGACCUGAACCUCUUGUGGCUCCAACACAUGAGAUGGAUUAGGAAUGUACUUCUUUAGCAUGGAUACAUGAAAAAUCGGAUGUACGUGAGAAAAAUUAUUAAGCAAAUCCAGUUAGUAAGCUACCUCCCUAAUUCUCGCAACUCAAGGGUAAGGUGGAAUAUAUGUAGGAGCUAACUUCCCUUUAGGACACCCUUUAUAGGGGAUACCUUUAGGAAGACCAAAUCACCCUCUUGAAAUGUCAUUACUCUAUGUUUAGGAUCCGCAUAGUUUUUCUGUCUAUCAAACGCUAUUUUGAUCCUGUCUCAAAUGAUAGGAACCUUCUCAUAUGUGACUUGAAUUGAUUCGGGUCCCACCAAUUGUCUAUCUCGUACUACCUCCCAACAAAUAGGGGAUCUGCACUUCUUGCCAUACAGGGCUUCAUAAGGCGCCAUGCUUAUGCUUGCUUGAUAGCUAUUAUUAUAGGCAAACUCAAUUAAUGGUAAGUGCACUUCCCAAUGUCCUCCAAAAUCCAGUACACACAUCCGAAGCAUGUCCUCCAAAGUUUGAUAAUCCUUUCAGAUUGUCCGCCGGUCUGAGGAUGGAAAGCCAUACUAAAGUCAAGCCAGGUCCCCAAAGCUCUCUGCAAUGACUGCCAGAAUCUAGAAGUGAACUGUGUUCCCUUGUUAGAAAUGAUAUAUAUCGGAAUCCCAUGAAAAUGUAAUAUCUCCUUAAUGUACAACCUCACCAACCUGUCAGCAUUAUAAGAGGAUCUCACUGGCAGAAAAUGAGCUAUCUUGGUAAGUCGAUCCACUGUCACCCAAACUGAAUCAUAGCCUCCGGGUGUUUUUGGUAGUCCUACCAUAAAGUCCAUAGUAAUUCAUUCCCAUUUCAUUCUGGUAUCAGUAGUUGUUGCAGCAACCCACAAGGUCUUUGAUGCUCUGCUUUUACUAGUUGAUAAGCAAGACAUUUCGACACAAAUUCCGCCACAUCUUUCUUCAUUGCAGUCCACCAAUAAUUAUCUUUCAAAUCCUGAUACAUCUUAGUAGUACCGGAUGCACAUUAUAAGCGGCAUAUUGAGCUUCGUCUAAAAUCUCCUUUCUAAGGUUAUCAACAUCGGGUACACAGAGGCAAGUACCAUUUCGGAAUACCCCUUUAUCAUCUAUCACUAAGUUCCCUGACCCACCAGUAGUUACUUCUUGCAUGAUUCUUUGUAAUUGCGGGUCUCUAUCUUGUGCAGCUUUGAUUCUAUCAAACAACAUUGGUCUUAUUCUGAAAUGAGCCAAUAAACAAUCUGAAGCAGAUAUUUCUAUUUCAAGGCCUUCAUCAAGCAUUUCAUCCAAUUCUCGAAUUAACAGUCUUCUUUUCGCUAAGAUAUGAGUUAAACUUCCCAAAGAUGAGCAUCGACCAAUACAUUAGCUUUCCCAGCAUGAUACUGAAUGGUACAAUCAUAAUCCUUAAGGAAAUCUAUCCAGCGCCUCUGUCUCAAAUUUAGAUCUCUCUUAUCAAAAAUAUACUUUAAACUUUUAUGAUCAGUAAAGAUCUCACAGGAUACACCAUAUAAGUAGUGUCUCUAUAUCUUCAAUGCAAAAAUGAUUGCUGCCAUUUCCAAAUCGUGAGUGGGAUAAUUUUGCUCAUGCUUCUUCAACUGUCUAGAAGCAUACGCACUAACCCGACCAUGUUGCAUCAAGACACAACCCAACCCCACUCUGGAUGCAUCACAAAACACAACAUACCCUUCAUUGCCUGAUGGUAAGGCUAACACCGGAGUAGUGGUCAAACACUUCUUGAGUCUCUGAAAACUAGCUUCACAAGAAUCAGACCAUAUAAAUUUGGCGUUCUUCUGGGUUAAUCUUGUUAAUGGAGCUGCUAUCUUGGAAAAGUCUUGCACAAAACGGCGGUAAUAGCCAGCUAAACCUAGAAAGCUACAAACUUCUGUGACCGUGGUCAGUUUAAGCCAGUUGACAACUGCUUCAACUUUCUUAGGGUCAACCACGAUUCUGUCCUUAGACACCACAUAUCCUAAGAAAUUCACACUUUCUAGCCAAAAUUCGCAUUUAGAAAACUUGGCAUAUAACCGAUGCUCCCUCAGAGUUUGUAGCAAAAUCCUCAGAUGGUGUAUGUGUUCCGCUUCAGUUCUGGAAUAAACUAGAAUGUCAUCUAUGAACACGAUCACAAAUUGGUCUAAGUAAGCUUGAACACGAGAUUCAUCAAGUCCAUGGAAGCCGCUAGAGCAUUGGUUCGAUCCAAAUCGUGAUUUUGUGGUUUUCGAUUUUCCAAUUGGUUUUCAUUGGGUUUCAAUUAAAAUGGGGUUGAUUCAACUAUUUAAAUUAUAUAUAUAUAACUGGUUAAAUAAAUUCGUAGGGUGUUAAUUUAUUAAAAAUUUUAAAUGAAAAAUUUUGAAAAUAAAAAUUUGGAUUGUUUCAGCAAUACUAUCACUAUAGCCAAAAUGAUUACCAUUAUUAAUUCAGAUCUUCUCGUUUCUUUUCUUUUACCUACCAAUAAAAAAAAUUUAUUAUUAUUUUUCAUUAUAGUUGUAUAUAGAUAUUGAUUUGAGAUUGAGGGUAAGGGUUGGGGAUUGAGUGAUAACUUUAUUUUCUUUUUAAGCACCUAUCAGAGUUUUAAGAAUCUGUAUUUAUAAAUUAAGGACUGAAGGAUUAUGUAUAAGAAUUGGAUUGAAUUUUAUUUUGAGACCACUUCAUUAUAUAAAAAUAGAAUCAAGUAUAUAAGAAAUAACAUUGCAAGUGGCUUAUAAGGUAAAGUCUAAUACAAAUUAACUAAUUGUAUUUAUUUUAAUCUAAAUAAAAACUUAUGCUUUAAUAUUAUAUAGAUAAAAAAUUAAAAGAAUAUAAAAUACGAAAAUAUAAUGAGCAUCGUGAACAACACACGUCAUAAAAAGGACUAGCAAAUUCAUAAAAAUCGGAAAAGGACUAUACGGUUAGAAAGGUUAGAAGGGUUUAAAAGUGGAAAACUGAGUAAUGUAUUUUUGAAAAUGUAGGGAGGAAAUAGUUAAUUUGACCAAAAUUGAGGACUAAAUAAUAAUUAUUCUUUUAUUUUAUCGACCAAAAAAAAGAGGGGUUGAUGCUAGUCUAGUACAGAAAACACUUAUCCAAGCAACCAAACGGAGCCUGGGUCACCUAUUAGUUCUAGUGUUUCCAACCAACCAACCAACCAACCAACAAAACCCUAAAGCCCCUUCUUGAAUUGCUGCUGCCUACUGAUACGUAUAAACCCUUCAAAGCCUUCACGGCAAAACCGCAAAAACCUGCACGAGAAAGCGAAAACACCAAAAUGGCGAAGUCAAUGAGAUCGAAGAGAGAGAAGCGGCUAAGAGCCAUAAGGAGAGAUUUGGUAGAGCCCUUUUACGACAAGAAAGACGAAGCCAAGCUCGCCGCCCAAGAAGCUGCUCUUGCUGCCCCUAAACUACCCGUUAAACCUUCUCCUUUCGCUGCUGCUUCUUCGUCGGCUAUGGACAUGACCACUACAACUACAGCAUCAAAUACUAACAUGGGUAUGUCGAUUCAAUCUUUGGUUAUUCAUUUUAUGCUCGAUAAUUAUAUUAAUAUAGCCCAUUUGCUUAAUUUUGAUAAUUAAUUAGGUUUUCCUUUUUUUUUGUCUUUUGUUUUCGUUAAUUGGUUGUAUGCUUAAAUCAUCUGUUGUAUCUUUCAAGAUUUUCAAUAUUAGUUAAGGUGAUUGAAUAGUUUGGGUACUGAUUCAAUUGGUUUCAUUCAUUUGGUUUUUCCCAAAUAACAUCAAUAAAUAAAUGUUGUUAAUAGAAAAUUCGUACUUCAAGUAUUUUAGACUUAGGUUAGCGGAAGCAUGUAUUAUAGCUGGGCAAAGUCCAGGUUCGAGUCCCCUGAAAAAGAAAAUUACUUCUAUUGUUGUCCUUUUUCUUUCUUUUCGUUUUUUCCAAAUGAAAUUUAAGCCACAUUCUAUGUGACCCCGAAAUAGAUAUUCCAUAUCUUUAUAGUGAUGAUGUACAUGUACUGAAUUGCCUGAUAUGAGUGUUGUAACUGUUGUGAGUAUAGAGAGCUCAAUGUUUCUUUGGCUCUUGUACAGAUGUGGAAAUGGAUGAUGACAGUCAAAAGAAGAAUUUUUUGAAGCCCAUCGGUAAGAAGCUAAAAAAGAAAUUAAAGUUGGCAAGAAACAAGCGUCGUGGUCAAGGGAAGAUCAAGAGGAAAUAUGUUUAACACCAUAAAUUUAUGGUAAAGAUGAUUCAUGUUUUAGUGGUGAAGCGAUAGUUGUAUGUUUGAGACUAUUAUGUUACAUUUUGAUGUUUUAAUAUCUUAAUGAUACAAUUUUUUAACUUAUAAAGUACUGAUUAUGUUGUGAUAGAUGGAAUGGAUGUGUGUGCAUGCUUGGUUUUACCUAAUUUUAGGGUAGCAUACACCUGAAAACCUUAACACAAAGCAUAAAAUGCACAUUAGGAAAACAGGGCAUGGAGAGAUGAUUGAUAUUUAACACUCUUCUUGCUGCUUCCAACACCUUCCCAUUUGCAGCAAUCUUCACCUGCAAAGUUGUUAGGCUUUCUUUAUCAUUAAUAAGUGCUUCUCUCUUCAGUUCUAUGCAUGUUGAAUAAUUUGAAAAUAUGCAGGAAAAAGCAUCACUUAAAUUGUAGAAGAACAUAUAUUUGCUUUGUCAUUUGAUUUGUUCGGUUUUUAAUGCACAUUAAACAGGGUUAUUAUGUAUAAGUGGAUCUUGUUAAUAGAUUGCGAUUGUGAUUAAUAUGAUACAAUUAAAUGCAAUCAUACAUUUGCAAUUGUUCUAUAAUUGUGUCGUUUGCAAUUGUUCUGUAAUUGUGUUUUUGUUGCAAAUUGCUAACUCCAUCAUUACUAAACUGGAAUUGAUAACACCCUAUUCAAAUCCCCUCAUUUUGUCCAUUUUGAUUUCCUCUUUAUAUCCCUCUUUGAAAAUGUCAUUUGAAUCUUUUAUGCUUUUCCUCUCAUGUCCAGGGAGGUUUCGGAUGAUUUUCUACUCUCUUAUUUAGGUUAAAUUCUUUUAUCAAUCCAUCAAGUACUGUUAAUCGCUAUUGUUGCAUAUUAAGAUAUAUUUCAGUGGUAAGUAUAUAUAUAAUAUGAUGAUAGAUCAUUGUUACAAGCUAAGAUAUAGUGUUAGUAUUGUUGCAUAUUAAGGUACAUUCCAGUGGUAAGUAUAUAUUCAAUAUGACGAUAGAUCAUUGUUACAAUCUCAGAUAUAGUGUAACGGUAGAUCAUUGUUACAAGCUCAGAUAUAAUGUAAGUAGUAAUUGCAUAUAUGAUCUGGCGAUAGAUCGAGUCACUACUACCAACUAACAUUGGUCAUUUGCAGUUGUCACAAUUUAUUAAUUUUUAUAUAUUUUUUUUCAUAUUUAAUAAUGAAAUUUUAAAAUAUAAAUUUUUUUGUAAUAUAUGUGUAUAUAUGUUGCAUUUGUUAUGUAUUCAAAUAAUUUCUUAUAGAGAAUUUAAAUAGUGUUCCAAUCCAUAUACCUGUAAAAAUACAUAAUAAUCGAAUAAUACAUUCAAAUAAAUUAUAAAAAUAAAGAAACUAAUUCUCCUGCCCAAAAGGCAACUGCAAUUCUCGGCGGACUCAUCCCUCAGCACGAUAAGGUCUUUAACAGAAGAGGUGCAUACACAGACAAGACUACCACAUUUCCUAACCACCAAAAUUUGCAUGCCAAUAAGAAAACUAAUUCACAGCUUUCCCUAGACUAAGUCAGCAACUGAAGAUAGAUAUUUAGUCCCAUCCUCAUUGACCCUGCUGCUUCCAAAAACUCUUUCUCCUUAAAGUUACAAAAGCUACCCCACAAAAACCUGCAACGAAACCAGCUGCAAUACUGAUAUAGAGAUCUGGGACUAGAGAAUUAUUAUCAUCUGUGUUAUCUUCUUCACCACUGCCAUCAAGUGCUGCCCUGGUCUCUGUUUUGUCUCCAUGGCACUUAGCUUCUAGAGGAAACCCACAUAGAAAUGGAUUGCCCUCAUAAAUCGAAGAAGCAUUCAAUGUUUGAAGCUGAUUUCCUGUAGGGAUCUUUCCUGAUAAGUUGUUGUAUGACAAGUCUAAAUAACUUGCAAAUGUUAAAGAAGACAAACUUUGAGGAACUGUCCCGGUGAGAUUGUUGUGAGACAGAUCAAAUGACUCCAACAAGUUUAAAUUUCCUAUCUUCUCUGGUAUAGUUCCACUAAUAUGAUUCCUUGAUAAAUUCAAAGCUCGCAAUGCUUUUAGGCUUGUUAUCUCAUCAGGAAUUUCGCCUUCAAGAUUAUUCUCUGAAAGAUCAAUAGCAUUCAAUAAUGCAAUAUUAUAGUUAAAUUCAUACUCUCUCCCUUUUGUUACAACAAUUAUUUGAUCCUUGAAGUAGGCCAACCGGUACUGCAAGCGGUAUUCAUCACUGCUGUUUCCAUAGAUUAAGGCACUCAAAUUACCUAAACAGCUAGGAAUGACCCCUGAAAAGUUGUUGUGGGAAAGAUCUAAGAAAUUAAGAUGUUGAAGAUUGCAGAGCUGUUUUGGAAUAUGUCCAUCCAGCAAAUUUGAUCGAAGGCGGAGUAUGAAAAUGGAUGAUACUGUUACGCCUAUCCAUGAGGGAAACUCUCCUGACAGUCUGUUACCUCCAAGAUCAAUGCUUUUUAAUACUGAACAGUUUUGCAAUGAAGAUGGAAUUUCCCCAACUAGAUUGUUGUUGCUCAACAACAACAUUCCAAGUGAACUUAAAUGACCAAGUGAUCUUGGGAUGCUUCCUGACAAACGGUUGUUUGACGCAUCCAAAACCCACAAAAAUUGUGAACUUUCCCAACAAUCAAUGAGUUCGCCACGAAGUUCAUUGUUCCUCACAUUAAAAACUAGCAAAUUCGAUAAGUUACAUAUGGAUGAUGGGAUCGUACCAUUUAGAUGAUUGUCAGAGAGAUGCAAAUUUCCUAGACUUGGCAUUAGUUCCCCAAUAUUUUGAGGGAUAGACCCUGAAAAUGAAUUGUUCUGAAAGUAUACCUGUGUCGCAUUGGUCGACCAAAGUGGAAGAAGCCCCUCAAAUCCAUUAGAACUCAAGUCAAUUAUUUCUAACUUUGGGAACUCCAGUUUGGGAGGAAGCUUCCCCUUGAUGUAGUUAUUAGAUAAGUCUAAGGCAAGAAGUUGAGAAGAUAACUUGGAAAACCAUUCCUCAGGUAUGGUGUCAAAUAUUCCAACAUUAUUGAGUGUUACUGUUUCGAGUUUGCUUUGAACCUGAAGCCACGUAGGGAACAAAGGACCAAGUUUACAAUUUUGCAGAUCAAUUUCUUUCAACCUGAAGGGAGGAAUCCAUCCAUGAGUCACAUUAAACACCAAAGACCUGUCUGGUUCAGUUGAAAGCACCAAAAUUUCUAAUCUGCCGAGAUUCAUCAGAUGAGCUUCUGUAAUAACACCUUCCCAAGAAUUGCCAAUAAGACUUAAGUCUUCUAGCUCUGAGAGCUGGCCAAAGCUUUCGGGGAUGCUUCCAUUCAUCUUAUUUGAAUGAAGGAACAAUAAUUUUAAGGAUGAUAAAUUUCCAAUAGUUGAUGGAAUUGAACCCCAAAAAGAGUUAUAAGCAAGAUCAAGAUAUUGUAAGUUCUUUAGACCCCCAAUUGAACCAGGCAAUUGGCCAGUAAACUGAUUAGAAUUUAGAUCAAGUGUCAUCAAACGUACAGAAGGGCAAACAGCAGAACUGCUAAGAAAUUCAGAAAUUUCACCACUAAGUUUGUUUGCUGAAAGUAUUAAGUUCUUCAACUUGCAAAGAUUCCCCAGUGAGCUUGGAAUAGGACCUUCAAUUAAAUUUAAGCUCAAAUCAAGGUCUUCAAGAGAGACCAAAUUGGUAAACUCGCUAGAAAUGGAACCACUAAAAGAAUUAGAGCUGAGAUCGAGUUUGGUAAGGCUUGCAAGAUUAAACAACCAAUUGGGUAUUGAUGAAUUGAAAGAAUUUUUUGAAAUAUCAAGGACCUUAAGCGAAGUGAAAUUAACAACAGGAAGAGUAAAAAGAAUAUCUUGAAGUUCACAACCAGGUAAACGCAAUUCCAACAAGGAAGGAAAUUUGUUUAUGACAUUUAGCCAAACACCUCGUGUGCUAUUAAUACGAACCAAUCCCAAAUCCAGGUGUUUAAGAAAGGACAGACCAGAUAGCCAUUGUGGGUUUUCUAGAUUCAAUCCAGUAGCACCAAAGAUAUACGAAAAUCCAUAAAUAUCAAGAUAUUGCAAAUUUAACAAAUUCCCAAGAUUAGAAGGUACCUCACCAGUAAAUGAUGAGUAAGAGAGAUUUAAAUAUUUCAAAUUCUUGAGCUGUCCAAGAAAAUCUGGAAUUUGCAUUCCUUCAAAAUUGUUUAAGCUCAAAUCCAAGUAAUUUAAAUACUCCAAAUGAAUCAAUGAGGAAUUGAACUUACCUCCCAAACAUAAACUUCUGUAAGUUGCUAUUUCGUUUUCUGUUAACAAAUAAGCAUCAAGAAUGCGAAAUUGAAAUGGGUUUCGAAGAUCAAGCUUGACUACGCGUCCUGUUUGGUUGUCGCAUCCAAUUCCUUCCCAUUUGCAGCAAUCAUCACCAACCCAUGAAGAUAACCUAUUAGAGGGAUCUGUUAGACCAUUUUUGAAGCCAAGAAGUGCUUCUCUAUCUGUGUCUAUGCAUUUGACAAUGGAUUCUCCAUUGCAGAGAAUAAAACUGUUGAAAUGGAGAUAAAAUAACAGAGGAAGAUAGAGGGAAAACAUAGAAAUAAAGUUGAAACAAAAGUUUCUUUCCAAUUCCAUGACUUCAAAUUUAAAUGUCUGUAGUAAGUGAAAAUUUACUUUGUACUUUUAUACUUGAUCUUAAACUACUUCGAUUCCUUAAAUAUAGGCAUUAUGAUGAAGAUGGCUCCAUUUUUUUAAUCUGCAACAGAGUUUAUGCUUUAUGAAUGCUUCGUCUGAACAUCGCAACAAGUCCAAAAGCGCGUGCUAAUGCGUUAAUAGCAAGGAACUGAACAAGUCCAAAAGCGCGUGCUAAUGCGUUAAUAGCAAGGAAAAAAUUUACCUAGAUCGGUUCAUAGCUUCACUCAUAGACCAAACCAAUAAGAAUAGAAUUUUUUAUUAAAACGAAGGUAUUUUUGACCAUACACGGAGAAAAAAAAGAUAAAGUCGAAACACUUUUAAAAGAAUCCUUACUAUUAUUGGUUAGGUCUAUAAAGCUUGGCUACGAAUCGGGUCUAGGCAAGUAAUUUUCUAAUUAUUUUUCAAACCAUUCAUCACCUAAUAUCAAUCUAUAACUACUUCUAAUUCUUUUUAUAUAGAUAAAGUUUUCAUUUUGAGCGUUUCAUUUAAAUAGACAAAGUUACUUGUUAUUUGCCUAUGGCUAAAGUGCAAAAUCCAAAUUGCUUGUUAUUUGCUUUGUUAACAACUUCAAGUCUUUAGAAAAACAAGAAACUGACGUACAAAAUUCAAAUACUGCAUUAAAUAUAUUACAAAUGCAUAGUUGUAUUAUUUUUCUCUCUCCAUCUUCAGCCAAAUUGCAUGCAAUUUUUAGGUUUUAUGCUUUGUUUACUGUUGCAUUAUCCACGUUUAAAUUUUCUAACUAUGAUGCAUGUUUAAGUAAGAUAAAAAAGUAUGUGCAUAUUGUAAUAUAUGUUCCAUUAGUUAAGAAUGGAAAAAUUGUCAUGCAUCCCUUGAUGUUAUAUAAGCACAUUUUAUGACAAACUACUCAUGUAAAAAAAUGAAAAAAAUUAUAACUUUUUCCUUCUAGUUUGCCAUAAAUUACUAAUUUGUCCUUGUAUUAUUAAAAAAAUACUACAAUGUCUUCAUAGUUUGAUUGUUAUAUAUUUUUAUCCUUCUGUUCAUUUUAUCUCAUUUUUAACGUUAAAAUAAAAUGAAAAAAAGACUAUUGGCCCAUUAAAGCUGAACUGUAAUUGAGGUUGAACUCAGAGGCAUAACCGAAAAUAAUUGGAUGACAUGCUUCUUUCGUGUACUGCCAAAUAGCGGCAAUGAUCAAAUCGUCGACAAUUGAUUUUGGCGACAUCACAACUUGUAUGACUCCAACGCUUCCUUGGACUAUCACAUUUAGUAGCAGCUUUGUCAACUUUGGUCAAUGCCUUCAUAGCACAUUCCGACGACGCUUCUACCUCCAUGCAAGUUAGGUAGUGAAAGAAUAUAUAUCUAGGAUAAAUUUGUCUAUGCUAAUACUUUGCGGGCUAUGGGAGGACAAAUUACCUCAAACGGCGGUAGUGGAAGAAUUAGAGGCAUGGAAAACCAAGAGCUGGGAAAGAGCUGUGACUUUUAGGUUUCCUGUAACCAACAGAGACCAUAACUUGAAUGUUACAACUGUAAAUGAACAGAAACCACAGACAAAGCUUGAAAAGGAAGCCAAUGCAGAUAUGCAAGGUAUAAACUCAACUGAUAAUGGGGGUCAAUAUAGUCUUUUUUCACAUUUGUUUUAACAUUAAAAAAUGGGAUAAAAUGGAUGGAAGGAUAAAAAUAUGUUACGGGGCAAAUUAUAAGGAUAUUAUAAUGUAUUUUAAAAAUUCAAAGACAAACUAGUAAUUUGUGGCAAACUAGAGGAAUAAGAUUAUAAUUUUUCUAAACAAAAUUAACCAAACAAAAUGAACAUAUGUUAUUUUAAGUCGGCUAUUAAAAAUUGUUUAGUAAAUUUUUAUGAAUGCUACCUCUCCAAACGGCAGCGUUUUGUUGCAAAAGAAAAAAAAAAGUUGUGCCAUCAAAUUCAUCCAUUUUUUGAAUGUUAUAUAAAUAUGUCUUUCACUAAAUUUAUUAUUUCUUCUAUAAUGUUUUCUUUUACUCCCUUAUUUGUACCAGCAAUCAUGCCAAAAGGGCAUUGUGUACCCAAUUUCUUCAUCAUGAUUCAGAGAUCAUGUGUUUUCUUUUGCAUGUAAAUUGAUAGAAUCCAAAGGACCAGCAGUCGGGUUGAGCUCUAUUUUUGAAAUUGUGUGAAUCAUGAGCUUGCAGGUUCAUAUCCAAAGGACGUGACAUGGUUGUCAGAAGUAAACUUUUUUUUUACUAUAGUUGUUGGUUCUUUUUUGGAAAAAGAGCAACGAAGCCGCCGGCUGACAGCUUGGUUUGUGAAUUAACUACGGAUGUGCCAGGUGUGUGAAGUACAUUAACUGAGGAAUUAAUAUCGCGCUUGAUAUGACUUCUAGGCUGUGGAUUGGAUCCACGGUACACGCCUUACUGAUUGUGCAAUUUAAAAUAAAUUUCAACAGAGAAAAUUAUAAAGAGAGCUUGAUUGCUUGAAAUGUAAAGAAAAUUUGAUUCCUUGAAAUGUAAAGGAAAUUUGAUUGCUUAAAAUGUAAAUUAUUUACUUGUAUUGAAAAAAGCUUGUAAUUACAGGAAAUGUAAAUAGACAAUGCUUAGGAAAAAUAAAGACAAUCCUUUGAAAUUAAAUUGCUUGACUAAUUGGAUAGUUUGGUUGAAUUCGUCGGAGAAUUUUAUUUGGAUUUUGUUGGAGCUUCUACCUUGUUCCCUUACUCCAUUUAUAAGCUCCACAGGCAGUUACCAAAAGGAUCUAUUGACACACGUUUCCGUCAUUGGCUUUGGCUCCCUUGGUCCCCACCUUCUAUACUUCAACAGCCGUUUGAGGAGUGCCUUCCUUGAGGAGUGCUCUUUUUGUUCAACUGCAACCCAUGUUUCUUUCUCUUUCUUUUUAAUUAAUUAAAAUUAAUUAAUUAAUUAAUUACACAAAAACAAUAUUAAUUAGAUCCUAAUUAAUUAAAAAUUGAAGCCCAAACUCAAAAUAUAGAGCCCAAAUCUAAAAAAUAACAAAAUGGGUUCAACAAUUGUCCCAUAUUAAGUUGGCAUGAUAGGUCAUACUUAAUAUGUUAGAUCAUUUUGAAAAUACUAACCCAUUUAUGAUUAAAAGUUCAAAAAUUAAAAAUACAAUCCCAACAAAUAAAAAAGAAACCCUAACACUACAUUCACUUUCUCUUUUAAGCCGCCAUCCUUCAUCGUUCUUUUCCUCCUGCAAUAAAUUUUUUCCAAAUUUUUUAUAAUAAAUCUUUGCCAUUCUUUUCUUUGGCCAAUUUUGGCCCCCUGUGCACACAUUGUUGGCUGAAAGGGCUUUUACAACAUCUAAUUUUAGUGAUCAAUAAAAAUAAUAAAUUGAAAUAAUUUAUUAUAUAGUAUUUUUCUUAGAAGUCUUUUGCAGAAAUUAAAUGGAGAAGAUCUUAUUGAAUUAAAGUUUGAGGGCUUUCCAAAUGAAGAUUAACAAGGCUACUUGAAGACUUGAAGACAAUGUAAUUAGUAAGUUAGCCAAAUUAGUUGGGUUUAGUUCAUCUUGUUGAAAUAGAAAGAUAAAUUAUGCGUAUCAUAGCUAAAAUCAGAAUUAUCUUUCUAGUCUUUUUGAACAAUCUACUUAAAGAAGAUAUUUUUGAUAAAAUACGAUCUAAAAUUCCUUGGGCUUUUAAAUUUGAAAAGACCAAAUUUCUAUAAAAAGUAUUACAGCCCAUAUCCUUCUCUCUUCCUAACUAAAACUUUGCCGCCAAUGUAUUUCUUCCUUUUUUUCUCUCUAACGUUAACUUUAUCUCUCUAACGGAAAGAAGAUUUCUGGGUAUAAAAGGAUAACAGAAUACCUGAUCUAUUAUGAGAGUGAAAAUCUAUUCUUGGGUUUUAUUAUUCAAAUCCUCUCAUCUCUCUUCUUCUUGCUUUCAUGAUUAUUUUCUAAAGAGAAGAGAAAAUUGAUUUUUAUGAGAGAAAAUAUGUGUUUACCAUUUUAAUUUCAAAACUCUUAUCAUAAGCAUUCAUCUCUUCUUCUUCUUUAUGUUUUUAAUGCAUUAUUUCUAAGAGAAUAAGAUGAACAGUAUUUUAAGAGAGAUUUUCAAAAUUGAAUUGAAAAACAUUUUAAAAUCUCCUUCCUAAGCUUAAAUGAGCAUAACUCUCUUUCUAUUAUAGGUUCUUAUUAAUCUAGAAUAGAGUAGAAAAAAACAAAAAUGAAAAAUCUUGUGAGAACAAAGUUUGUGUGAAGCUUGUGCUGUUUAGGUAAUCAAGCACCUCUCUUUGAGUAAGAGCAAGUCUUGUAAGUUUUCUAAUUCUUAUUAAAAAUUAAUGGGGUUAAGUUUUUAUCUAGUUCUUUGCCAAAAACUAGAAAGGACAAAUUUAUAAAUUCUUUGAAAAACUUAUGGGGAAUGGUUAGUUCUAGAUGUUGAACUAUUUUCAUUGUAUUCGACUUUGCUCUUGCCUUUGAAAAGAGUUUGAUAGUGGAGGACUCAAGAUGAUUUCUUGAGAAGUGGUUGAUUAUGUUGAUUUCUCCUUUUUCUUCUCUUGAUUGCCAUAUUCUCACACACUCACUUGAUCAUCCACUACAAAAAAAUUGCAGUUUUGCGACCGAUACAAAUCGGUCGCAAAAUUGCAACCGAUUUGCCACAAAUUGCGAUGAUUGUAAUCGUGAAUAUAUUGCGACCAAGUUGCGACCAAACAGCAAUAGAAUUUGCGAUGGAUUUGCGACCGAUACUGAAGCGGUCGCUAAUUGUAGCACUAAUAAUUCCUGCCAGUUUGUUUUCCAUUUUGCAACUAGUUUAAGAUGGAUUUGCAACCGAUUUGCAACUAUGUAUCAUUCCGUCGCAAAAUUGCACAGUUCAAAUUCAGCACCAAAUUUCUGCAAGGGAUUUGCGACCGAUUUGCUACUGAUGCUUUGCAACCGACUUCUUUGGUCGCAAAUCGGUCGCAAUUUUGGGGCAAAGUAAAACGAUGUUGCAGAGGUAAAAAUUGCGACCUAUUUUAAUAAAAUUUGCGAUCGAUAGUCGAGCGCAAAUUUUAGGGCUCUAAACCCAGCGAGCGCCCUCCUUCUUCUUUUUUCUUCUUCUUUCUUCUCCUCUUCUCUUCUCCUCCUCCGUUUGCAGCGCCAUCCCAGCCUCUUGCCGCGCUGCUCCCAACCGCUUGAUGCCUCCUUCUCCACUCCAUUGCAACGCCGGUCGCGGGAGGAUCCCUUCUCCUCGUCAUUCGCGGUCGUCAGUUCAGGUACAUUUGGAUUUUUUUUUUUUUGGUUUUGGUUUUUUUUUUUUUUUUUGGGAACUUCUAUUUAUUUUGUUGUUGUUGUAGUUGCAUGACAAAAAAUAAGUUGUUAUUUAGUUGUUUUAGUUGUUGUAGUUGUGAUUUAGUUGGUAUUGUCCAUUGUGUGUGUUAUUGAAAAGAAUGAUAAAAUUGGAAAAAAGAAAAUUUGAUAUUGUAAUGAUAAUUUGGAAUUUUUUAUAAUUUAGGAAAAAUUAUAUAUGUAAUUUAAUCAAUGUAAUUUUAUGUAAUGCAAUUUUAAAAUUUAAUUGGUGUUGAAUUGAUUGAAAAAUAAAAAAUUACAUGUUAUUAAAAAAGAACUAAAUCAAUUAAUAUAUGUGUAAGUAAAUAAAUAUAAUUGUGUAACUAAAAUAAAUGACAAAUAAACAUAAUUGUGUAACUAAAAUAAAUGAGAAAUAAACAUAAUUGUGAAACUAAAAUAAAUGACAAAUAAACUUAUUCAUUUUUUUGUAAUUAUGAAAUAAUGCAUUUUUAUUUUAUUUGUUAUUAUUGUUGUUAUUAUUCUUUUUUUUUUUUUUGUUAUUAUGUAAUGAAUGGUGCGUUUGCGUUGGAGGCCUAGUAGUGACCAUUUUGCCUUCGGAGAAUGUUGGUAUGAUAUAGAAGUGUUUAUUGAAGUGUGUUUUGAUUUGAGAUUUGAUUGGCCGAAGUGCUGCCGAAUUUUUUUAAAAAAAUUGAAAUAUAUGUAAAUAAUAAAAGAAACAUAAUAAAAAAUUCUCAUGUUAUUUGCUACUUAUUUCUAAACACUUUCCAAAUUCUUAGUAAAAUUAAAGUUGAAGAACAUUCUUUUGUAUCGUUAGUGAAAGUAAAGUGAAAAAUAAAAAAUUACUUCUUAUUAAUUAAUGUUCGAAAAAGAAAUAAAUCUAUUAAUAUAUGUGUAAGUAAAUAAAUAUAACUGUGUAACUAAAAUAAAAGACAAAUAAACAUUAUUGAAGAAACUAAAAUAAAUGACAAAUAAACAUAAUUCUGUAACUAAAAUAAAUGACAAAUAAACAUUAUUGANNNNNNNNNNNNNNNNNNNNNNNNNNNNNNNNNNNNNNNNNNNNNNNNNNNNNNNNNNNNNNNNNNNNNNNNNNNNNNNNNNNNNNNNNNNNNNNNNNNNNNNNNNNNNNNNNNNNNNNNNNNNNNNNNNNNNNNNNNNNNNNNNNNNNNNNNNNNNNNNNNNNNNNNNNNNNNNNNNNNNNNNNNNNNNNNNNNNNNNNNNNNNNNNNNNNNNNNNNNNNNNNNNNNNNNNNNNNNNNNNNNNNNNNNNNNNNNNNNNNNNNNNNNNNNNNNNNNNNNNNNNNNNNNNNNNNNNNNNNNNNNNNNNNNNNNNNNNNNNNNNNNNNNNNNNNNNNNNNNNNNNNNNNNNNNNNNNNNNNNNNNNNNNNNNNNNNNNNNNNNNNNNNNNNNNNNNNNNNNNNNNNNNNNNNNNNNNNNNNNNNNNNNNNNNNNNNNNNNNNNNNNNNNNNNNNNNNNNNNNNNNNNNNNNNNNNNNNNNNNNNNNNNNNNNNNNNNNNNNNNNNNNNNNNNNNNNNNNNNNNNNNNNNNNNNNNNNNNNNNNNNNNNNNNNNNNNNNNNNNNNNNNNNNNNNNNNNNNNNNNNNNNNNNNNNNNNNNNNNNNNNNNNNNNNNNNNNNNNNNNNNNNNNNNNNNNNNNNNNNNNNNNNNNNNNNNNNNNNNNNNNNNNNNNNNNNNNNNNNNNNNNNNNNNNNNNNNNNNNNNNNNNNNNNNNNNNNNNNNNNNNNNNNNNNNNNNNNNNNNNNNNNNNNNNNNNNNNNNNNNNNNNNNNNNNNNNNNNNNNNNNNNNNNNNNNNNNNNNNNNNNNNNNNNNNNNNNNNNNNNNNNNNNNNNNNNNNNNNNNNNNNNNNNNNNNNNNNNNNNNNNNNNNNNNNNNNNNNNNNNNNNNNNNNNNNNNNNNNNNNNNNNNNNNNNNNNNNNNNNNNNNNNNNNNNNNNNNNNNNNNNNNNNNNNNNNNNNNNNNNNNNNNNNNNNNNNNNNNNNNNNNNNNNNNNNNNNNNNNNNNNNNNNNNNNNNNNNNNNNNNNNNNNNNNNNNNNNNNNNNNNNNNNNNNNNNNNNNNNNNNNNNNNNNNNNNNNNNNNCAGUUAGCAAAGGAAAUGUUGCUUGAAGGCCAUUCAAUGGUUGAUAAUUUUUACCGGACAAAAAAAUCAGUUCGGGGAUUAGGACUACCCGUGGAUAAGAUUGAUUGUUGUCAUAAUAAUUGUAUGAUAUACUGGAGCCUUGAUUCCGAAUUCAGAGAAUGCAAGUUCUGUAAUCUUCCAAGAUAUCAACGGCGGGGUCAAGGGACUGGUAGAGUACAAAGAGAGAAGGCUUUCAAGAAGAUGUAUUAUUUCCCUCUUGUUCCUCGCAUUCAAAGGUUAUAUGCAUCUAAGGCGACAGUUGAACACAUGAGAUGGCAUGCUUUGCAUGAAUAUGAGGAUGGUAUAAUGACUCAUCCGUCAGACUCUGAAGCUUGGAAACAUUUUGAUAACAAUCAUCCUGUGUUUGCUGCUGAUAUGAGAAAUGUGAGAUUGGGGCUUUGUACUGAUGGGUUUCAGCCGUUUGGCCAAUCAGGACAACAAUAUUCAUCAUGGCCUGUCAUUGUGACACCAUAUAAUCUACCACCGUCAAUGUGUAUGAAAGAUGAAUAUAUGUUUUUGUGUGUUAUUGUUCCUGGGCCUACUAAUCCAAAACAUAAAAUUGAUGUGUUUCUGCAGCCUUUGAUUGUCGAACUUAAUUAUUUAUGGGAAUAUGGGGUUGAAACAUUCGAUAUUUCGACCAAUCAGAAUUUCAUAAUGCGAGCUGCUUUGCUUUGGACCAUCAGUGAUUUUCCAGCAUUUGGAAUGUUAUCUGGGUGGAGUACCGCUGGCAAAUUGGCUUGUCCUCAUUGCAUGGAAAACACUAAUGCAUUUACACUAAAGAAUGGAGGUAAACAAUGUUGGUUUGAUUGUCAUCGCAAAUUCUUACCAGAAUCUCACCCUUGGAGGAGAAAUCGACAAUGCUUUAGAAAGAACACGACUAUUGUUGAACCCCCUCCACCUGUGAAGUCUGGAGCUGAAAUAUUACAAGAAAUUGAAGAUCUGGGGCUUAUGAAAGUUACAUAAUUAGGUGCAGAUGAGGCAAAUGGAAGAAUUGACAGGAAUAGCGGGUGGAAAAAGCGAAGCAUCUUCUGAGAUUUAUCAUACUGGAGUUCACUUCUUAUCCGUCAUAACCUUGAUGUGAUGCAUAUAGAAAAAAAAUGUGUUUGAAAAUCUGUUCAACACUAUCAUGAACAUUGAAAAACCAAGGAUAAUGCAAAAGCGAGAGCAGACAUGAAGGAAAUUUGUCGUCGACCAGAACUCGAGCAAUCUGUACUUACUGGUAAGUUUCCGAAGGCAUGUUAUUGUUUAGAUAAACCCCAAAGGCAAUUAUUGUGCGAAUGGUUACGAUCAUUAAGGUUUCCAGAUGGCUACUGUUCAAAUAUGGGUAGAUGUGUGGACAUGAGGAAGUACAGAUUGUUUGGCAUGAAAAGCCAUGACUGUCAUGUUUUCAUGCAAAGAUUGAUCCCUGUGGCAUUCUGGGAAUUAUUGCCAGCGAAAAUUUGGGAAGCAAUGAUAGAAUUGAGUCUCUUUUUCAAGGAAUUGACGAUGACUGUUAUCCGAUGCGAUGAUAUGAACCAAUUAGCGCUAGAAAUCCCAGUAGUGGUAUGCAAAUUGGAGCGAAUUUUUCCACCCAGGUUCUUUCAUUCUAUGGAGCAUCUGCUGGUUCAUUUGCCGUAUGAAUGUCGUGUAGCAGGACCGGUACAAUAUAGAUGGAUGUAUCCAUUUGAGAGGUGAUUCACUAACAUCUCAUUCUNNNNNNNNNNNNNNNNNNNNNNNNNNNNNNNNNNNNNNNNNNNNNNNNNNNNNNNNNNNNNNNNNNNNNNNNNNNNNNNNNNNNNNNNNNNNNNNNNNNNNNNNNNNNNNNNNNNNNNNNNNNNNNNNNNNNNNNNNNNNNNNNNNNNNNNNNNNNNNNNNNNNNNNNNNNNNNNNNNNNNNNNNNNNNNNNNNNNNNNNUAAUGAUGACGGAGGAGAUCGAAUAGAAUCUGAGUUUGAAGGAAAUCCAAUAAUUUUCACCUAUCCUGAGCGUACGAUUGGUAAAUAAAUAAAAAAAAAGACGAUUGACUGAUGCAGAGAUACGAGCGGCUCAAACCUAUAGUUUGUUGAACAACGAAGAGAUUACACCAUUUGUACAGUAAGUAUACAUAUUGUAGACAGUCUAAACCCGGUCUGGGGCGUAGUUAAAUCAUAUUUAUGCUAAUUUUGUUCGUUCAUAAACAGGAAAUAUAUCAAUCUUUUGCGGCUUCAAAAUCCCAAUUUGACUGAUACUAUAGUUGAUGCAAAACUGGACUCUGAAUUUGCAGAAUGGUUCAAAUAUUAUGUAAGUUACUUUCAAUGUACACAACAUGGAAUGUACAUUAUUAGAUCUCACUCAUGUCAUUACUAUUUCCCAUAGGCUCGAAGCUCAAAAACUGAUAUUGGUAAUAGAUUCAUUACGGAUUUAGCAAAGGGACCUCUACCGAUUGCUAAUGCCUACUCUGGCUACUUUGUAAAUGGUUACAAGUUUCACACUGAGGGUUAUGGGAGAAGCAGAAAGACAAUGAACAGCGGUGUUUGCGUAAAGAGAUUAAACUACAGUGACGUGUCAAACGAUUUUUAUGGGAAAUUGGUUGAGGUUUUAGAGUUAGAAUAUCCAGGCCUACCAAUGAAGUGCACAAUCUUAUUCAAAUGUGAAUGGUUUGAUCCUAUGCCAAACGUUGGCACGAAGGUUCAUCCUAAGUAUAAUCUGGUAGAUAUUAAUCAAAGAAGAAGAUAUACAAAGUAUGAGCCUUUUGUGUUGGCAAUGCAAGUUGCACAGGUGUACUAUGUCUUAUAUCCAACGUUUAAACGAGAUCGUUGCGAUUGGAUGGCAGUGUGUAAAAUCAAGGCUAGAUCAGUUGUUCAUGCACUUGAAACCAAACAAUCUACUUCACUCGCAGUAUCGGAGCCAUUUCAAGAAGUUAGGGUUGAUACGCAACCGAUGCAAGUUGUUGAAGAUUUAACAGAUAGAUUAGAUGAUGAAAGCCGAUCUUAUGUUGAAAUAGGAGCAUCGGAUGAUGAAGAGGAAGAAGAUCAAAUCAUCAUGGGUACCUCAGAAGACGAAUAUGAAGAAGAGGAAGCUGAUGAAGAGGAGGAGGAAGCAGAUGAUAUUGAAGACACUUAAAACUUAGAGCAGUUUUACUAUUACAAAUUCAUAAAUGUAUAUCUAAUUAAUAUUAUUAAUGCAAUGUUAUUCACUUUCUUUAUACAUAUUACCACAUGUUCUACAAUUCAUAUAAUUGUAUACAUACAUAUCUAGGUUAUGAUAUCUACAGUACAGAUGGCUAGAGGCAGGGCGUUUGAUUCAGACGCAUCCAGUAGUGGUUCGCGUAGAGGUCGUGGCCUAGGACGUAGUACCUGUGGACGAGGAGGGACUAUCCCUCCUUCUUCAGGUACGUCUGGGGCUUCAUCCUCUGCAAAGCAGCCAGUACUGCCGCCAUCACUUCCUUCUAUUCCUUCCUCUUCUACCCCACUUUCUUGACCAGUAGAGUCUUCACCAGCUGCAUAGUCACCUACUGUACAAGGUAAUCAUAAAUGUCAUUACUGUCAUUUCAAUUAUAUAUUAAUUAUCUNNNNNNNNNNNNNNNNNNNNNNNNNNNNNNNNNNNNUUCAUCAGAUCCACGUACCAGCCUCAGUUUGGUGGCGGGACAGUGAGUACUUAUUCACUUUUUCCUCUGUACUUGAUUUUGUUCAUAUUUUGAUGCUUUUAUCUAAUUAUAUUUCAUUUGUGUUUUUUUUUUUUCUCAGCAUAUAUCCAUCCUCUCGAGCAUCAAGGCAAAUUAUGAGGAUAAUCAAGCUACAACUCCAUAAAGAAGGAUACACGUGAGAUGUCGUACCAUAAGAGGCGAGAGACUUUUAUUGGGAAGAGUUUCAGGUACGCUUUGGUUUAAAUUAUAUCAUCAUUCAAUGUUUACAAUUCAUCAAGAUACCUCCUUAGUGUUGAAACGCUAUAUUUCAUUUUUUGCAGAAACAAUGGGACGAGGCAAUUAUAGCUAUGCUGAAAGUGGCCUAGGAGAAGUUAUGCGCUGACCAAUAUGCUAACUUCACCUAUAGGAUGCGAAAAAGCGGUAAGAAGCAGCAGUGCGUGUCUCAAGAGAUAUGGGAGAGCUGGCAAAAGGCUUGGGAGGAUCCUGCAUUCAAGAGAAAGCGGGAGAUAUUUGCACAAAACAGGCGCAGUGAGACUGGCGGUGAUGGAGCAGGACCUUCUCGACACACAGGCGGAUCAAUAUCUGCUAUAGAGACAACUUGAUUAUUAGUGAGCCAACUAGUCACACUAUAUGAAACUGAUGUUUAAUGAAAGGACAUUAUAUAUAUUAAUAUAUCAUGCAUAAAAAUUCAUUACAGGCUAAACAAUUAGGUCGUGAGCCAAACCCGAUUGAGGUGUUUACAUACNNNNNNNNNNNNNNNNNNNNNNNNNNNNNNNNNNNNNNNNNNNNNNNNNNNNNNNNNNNNNNNNNNNNNNNNNNNNNNNNNNNNNNNNNNNNNNNNNNNNNNNNNNNNNNNNNNNNNNNNNNNNNNNNNNNNNNNNNNNNNNNNNNNNNNNNNNNNNNNNNNNNNNNNNNNNNNNNNNNNNNNNNNNNNNNNNNNNNNNNNNNNNNNNNNNNNNNNNNNNNNNNNNNNNNNNNNNNNNNNNNNNNNNNNNNNNNNNNNNNNNNNNNNNNNNNNNNNNNNNNNNNNNNNNNNNNNNNNNNNNNNNNNNNNNNNNNNNNNNNNNNNNNNNNNNNNNNNNNNNNNNNNNNNNNNNACCACAGCCCGAGCACAGUGCCGAGGAGUUUACUGCAUUACAGGCUCGUGUUGAUGAGAAGAAGAGACAGAUUGCAGAACUUAGAGCGCAUGUCAAGCAGCUGUCCGGUCAGCCCGGUGCUGGUACUUCUUCCUGUGAUCCUGCGCCUGCUACAGAUCGAAAUGUUUCGACAUCUCAGUAGCAGCCACUACCGUCUCCUGAUCCCAAUGAUGCAGACGAUACCUUGGUCACCCCUGCUGACGCUACAGCACAUCCAGCAGGUACUCCUCACGGCGAUUCGACAUUGGAUCGUGCAUAUGACCAACCGCGUAGAUUUGAUUUUGGACCUUUUUAGCUUUCCAGUGGUUUUUUGAAAUUUUGUUCAGUACAUUAACUGCAUUAAAUUUUUUUUUUUUUGAAUUGCGUUUGUGAUAUAUAUAUAUAUAUAUAUAUUUUUUGACAUUUUGUUCAGUACAAUAACAAUUACAUUUUUAUAUUGUUCUUGAAUUGCGUUUGUGAUGUAUAUAUAUAUAUAUAUAUUUCAAUUUUCACAGGUGCAAAAAAAUUAUGGUUUUAUAAUAAUAUUUAUUUUUUGUUUUUGUAUUUUGCGAUGGAUUUGCGACCGAACUACAACCAAAAAUAUAAACUUUAAAUUUAAAAUUUGUGACCGAUUUGCGAUAGAUUGUUUCUGAGACCAAUUUGCAACAGCGUUUCAAAAGGAAAACAAGACCAAAUUUUGCGAUCGAUUUUUUAAUUUUGCAAUCGAUUUAUCGGUCGCUAAUUUGCAACCGAUUAGUUCAUCGAUCGCAAAAUAUUUUGCGACGAGCACUUUUGCGACAGAUGGUUAUCGGUCGCAAAUCAGUCGUUAAGUUUGAUUAGCAACCGAUUUCUUGCCUUUUGCGGCCGAUUUGUCGGUCGCAAAAUGGCGUUGUUUUUGUAGUGAUCUGUUUAUGCUUGAUGAAUUAACUCUGUUAUUUAUGCUGCAGUGGAUUCAUUUCACUUCUGAGAUUGCUUAAAUUAGUUACUGACUUAUAGAAUCUCUGCAGACUUAUUUUAGUGAGUUAUAUUCAGUAAUUGGUUGAGCUCUAUAUUUUAAUAUCUAUGAUGAAACAGAUUAAAUGUUUAACUGCCUUAUAUAUGGUUAUUACCUGAUUUGAGUUGGUAUAAAUUAUUGCUUCUCCUGUGAUUUUUUGGAACCAAUAAAAAAUUAUCCCAAAGGCACCAAAUGUUCGUACCAAUUCCACUAGCAAUUAUUUUUCCAUACCCUGGAUUCUUGUGACGGCAGAUCAAUACCCUCCACGGCUUCAAAAAGCAAGUCGAUCCUACCUGCACAUUCUCUAUUAAUUUGAUUAGGGGGAAACCCAUGUACCUGAACCCAGAAGGGAGUCUUGAAAAAAUCCACCUGAGAUAAAGGGAUAUCCAAGGCCCACUCUUUGAGUAUUAACUGCUGAUUAACGACUGACUAUGGGGCUCCUUGAAGAACCAAACCCCUGUCUUCUACAGACAUAAAAUUAAAGAUAUAGCUAUUAUUUGGACCUUUGCGGACUUCAAAUUCAUUCUUAGGCUUCCAAGAACUAAUGACUGCCGCUUCAUAACUCCGGUACUAAUAGACUUUUCGUUAACUAACUUCCCUACAAGCACAUUUUGCAUGCUGAUAUUUGUACUUUUCUCAUUUAAGGAGUUUAGAUCUAAGACAGGUUCUUCCCAUGUGAGCUCAUCAGUUCUAGUGAUAAGCUCAUUUAAUGAAAUAAGGUCAGUGUCCACGAAGAUGAGAGAGAAAGAGAAAGGAGUGAAAAAGGGAAUAUGAAGUAAUUAAGUCAUGGUCUAGUAUAAAGGGUGUUAACGGUGGUGGUUGACGAAGGAUAGGAAAGUAGAAAGGAAAGAAAGUCAGAGAAGGGGAAGGAAAAGGACGAAGGGAAAAAACCCUGGCAGUGUACCAGAGUAGAGCACGGUUUAAUACAAUUUACUGUAAAUUUAAAUCUAGUGGCUUAUAUUUAAAUUAUACAUGCAUAAUAAGAUAUAUUGUCAAAUUAUAUAUGCAUUUACCGUUGAAUUAUGCGUUGGUGUUCACUUUAAAUACAAUUUUAGAUGUAAUUGAAUUUAUAUAUUCUAUUUGUUUGUGAUUAAAAAAAUACAUAUCAUUUUUUUUAUAUAUUUUUUCAAUUUCAUUUUCAAUAAACAUUUUCUUAAACUGUUAAAAAUAUUUUUUAUAAAUUAAUUUUUAUUUAUUUUAAUAAUUUUAAUCACAUUCUCGUAAGUAAAAAAAGAAUUUAAUUAUGUCCGCUAGUUCUUAAAUAUAUAUUAUAAUCUUAUAAAUCAAGUAAAGGAGAAUUUAAAAAAAUAAUUGAAAUGAUGUGUAAAUUAAAAUAUUAAAUUUAAUAAAGUGACACAAUUGCUUUUACAAAAGUUAAUAGCUAAUAAUGAAAUAUUAAUAUAAAUAUUUAAAAUAAUGAAAAUUAACCCAUUAAUAUUAAUAUAUUCAUUAGGAGAAUAAACAAGAAUGUUUAAUUAUAUACAUUUAUAAAAAUUUAUAUUGCAUAAUACAUGUGAUUUGAAUUUUUCUAUACAAAUAAAAGUAGGCUUUCAGAAAAUAAAAUUGAUGAAAUUGAUUUUGGGUUAAUAAAUUAAUAAAUAUAUAUUUAAUAGCAAUUAAGCAAUAUUUUUAUUUUUAAACUAAUUAAGAAUUUUUUUUACCUAUAUAGUAGGUGGUUUCUCUUUCAUUCUUCUAUCCAAUGGCUAAGUUUUAAACAAUAAAAUCUAAUACUAAAAAUUGAAAAAAAAAUUGAUGGUCCAAUUAGAUCAGCCCAUUGGGCCAUACGGAUCCAAGUGACACCGGCCUGUUAUCCUUCCACUGCUAGGAGCGGGAGGUGGUCGAUGCUCUGUGAAGCCAGCCUGACGCGGUGCCCUCCCCUCUACGAUUCAUGCAGUUCAAGCCUUCGCUAGAGCCACAGGAGCCAACUCUCAGCUUGGAACGGGCAGCCCAGACGAUAGCCAAUCGAACCCAACCCGCUGGUACUGAAUCAAUGUCCCAUCAAUUUCAUGCCCCCACUUGGGUCACAAGCCCAAGUUACUGGACUCGGCCGUGCGGUUCCCCUCAAAUGUUUACUAUAAAGGCUAAUUGUUUUUAGCUUUUGCUCGAUGUGGGAUUGGAUUCAUUAAGUUUUUCAUCUUUCUCGUUAUGUUACUUUUGUUUAAUCGGUGUUAUAAAUGAUAUUUGAAGUUAUAAAGUGAUCUUUGUUUUCUAAUUUUGUUUUUUUUUUUUUAAAUUCAUUUGUGUAUCUUAUAUGACCUAUCAAAUAUAAAUUUAUUAGAGAAUUAUCUAUCACUAUUGUUGUGAUUGGAAACAAUUUUUUAAGUAGUUUUGUUAAGACACUGAACGUAGUUUUGUCAAAUCGUAUAUGCACUUACCAUUGAACUAUGCAUUGGUGUGCACUUUAAAUACAAUUUUGGAUGUAAUUGAAUUUUUAUAUUCUAUUUGUUUGUGAUUACAUAGUAUAUUCAUGUAAUGGGAACAGGUCUUACACUAUUUGUGAAUGAAAAAAAAAUAAAGAAUUAAAUGCGGUUUGAAAGGAAAUAUCGGUAAUUUUAUUAAUUUAAAUUCAGAAUCAACUUUUUUUCGAUACACGAAAAUUAAUAAGAUCAAGUACAGUGACAAAUCAAACUUCAAUACCUGUAAUAAUCCGUAUUAUAAGUGGUAAUGAUGUAGAUAAUUAUGAUUCAAAAAUACUCUCCAAUAGAUAAAAUGAAAAGCGAACAUUUAAAACGUCGAUUGCUUUGUAUAUAUGAUAAUUAAUGAAUAUAAUAGUUAUUCAUACGGAAAAGUUCAAUUUGCACACUGAACUUGGGUCAAAUGUAUGAAAAACCUACAAAUGGACUUUUGAAUAAAAAAAACCUAUGAACUUAACAUUUUAGUAUCACUUUAGCUUAAUUUUUCACUAAAAAUUUAUGUGUGUACAGCACGCGGUCGAACAAUAAGAAAUAAAUGAAUUAAAAAUUAUUUUCCUCUAAUAAACAGUAACAGCAACAUCUCCUUAGCUAAAAUAAUCAAAUUUAAACUUAAAUCUCUAAAUCUAUCAUUUGCAGAAUGAAAUCUACUAAGUUGGAGAAGGAAAGGGAGAGAGUAGAAGGAAGCGAGUCAUACUGUGCUUGUUGAUUAAAGGCUCAUUGUUGGAUUUCUUAGAGCGAGAAGAACACAUGUAGAAAAUUUUAUUCCUGCAGAUUCUUAAAGGUGAAUGCGAAUUUGUUUUUUCUAUUAAUCAACUUCUUUUGUCAUUAAUUUAUCAAUAAGCAAGUGAUAUUUGUCAUACCCUUUUCAAUCUUUGUUAUCAUCCUUUUGUUCUUGAAUCUUUAUUAAAAAAAUUUUUUGGUUUUAUAGCCGAAAGUGAUGUUACUUCUUUGAAUGACACGACGAAAAAAUGGAGCAAAGAGCUGUAGAUGUGAUUAAUAAGCUGAAGUCCCAAUCAAACCUAAAGACUUCCCUCCCUACCAUGCAUCGAAAGUUUAUUAUGAAAUCCUAAUUCAAGAACCAUAGAUGGGAGAUGGGAUCAUUAAUAAUGGAGUUGAGACAACAAAGGAAGGAGUAUGAAAGGGUAAAGAGAAGGGAGUUCUAGUUGGUGUUUGCUUUGUGCUUUACAUUAGCUGUGUUGAUAAUAAUCAUUUUAAAUUGAAGUAGUUAUGGGAUUUGAUUUUAAUUACAAUUUGAGAAGAUUUUGUUGAAGUGAAGCUUUUGUCUUUAGGAAUUUUAACAAAAUGCUGUAGUUUGCCAAAACUACGCUUUGGUUUCAGCAUGAUAAUGUAACUAUUUCGUUUAUGGAAUAAAAAAUUGCUGCAAAUUUUGGAAUUGCCAUAUUUGUUUCUUCAAAACUUUAUUGGUGUUGCAUCCUAAUUAUUUGAUCAAUAAAUAUGAGAUGUGACAGGUUAUGAAUCUAUCAACUAUUUAUUCUGUUUCAGAUAUUAAUUCAUGGAAAAUAGCUUCCAGUUUUGGUUAUUUUGGCUAAGGAGAUGUUGCUGUUAUUAUUUAUUAGAGGAAAAUAAUUUUUAAUUCAUUUAUUUUUUAUUAUUGACACUUGCUGUACGCACAUAAAUCUUUAAUGAAAAAUUGGCUAAAUGAUAAUAAAAUGUUAAAUUCGAGGGUUUUUUUAUCGAAAAGUUCGUUUGUGGGUUUUUUUUACAUUUGACCCAGGGUGCAAAUUGAAACUUUUUCUUUAUUCAUUUUACAGUUUUAUUAUUAAAUAUUUUUAAAGUACAAAUUGCUCUAAUGAGAUUAAAUAAAUUGUUUAAAUUAAACUUUUGUUAUAUACCAUAUGUGCAAGUAUUAAUAUUUACGGGAAAAAGCUAAUUCCCACUAUCUUUACCUAAAACAAAUGUAAAUCUUCUUAAAAAAAUUAUUUUUUAUAUAUUCUAAAUUUUUUAGUUUGUCAUUAAUUUGAAGUAUUAGCCUUUAAGAUUCUGGCUGUAUUGAAGUCCUUGAAAACUUCCCAUUCCACGUGACUUACUUCUUCUGAUUUCUGAUAUUUAACUUAUAUCUUUCAUCCUUAUAAAAAUAAUUAGUACUUUGAAUGUGCUUUGCACAUUAUUUAUAUUCAUUGCAUUUACCAUUUUAAAAAAUAAUUUAAUACACUCUAAAAUAUCACAAACUGCUUUAAAAGAAAGUUGUAUGUAGAGCUUUUUUGCCUAAGUUGUAUAUCUUGGGUCCUCUCUUGGACUCCAAAUCAGUAAAUACGUUUCUAUUUAAAAUUCUAUGCCAAGCACUGACAAAGGGGGACCUAAGGGCCUCACCAAAAUAAUUUAUUAAACAAAUUCAUUUUCAAAAAAAAAAAUAAUUAAACAAAUUAAAGUCCAUAAUAUAAUAUUAGAAAUGAAAAAUUUUAAUUAAGCAAAUGAGUUUAUCCCGUGAUUUGAAAGCUACUAGCUAAUCUAGAUGGUUCAUCAUUACUUCAUUAGUGAUUAGAGACUGACGAUUUCAGCCUCCUCUUAAUAAUUUUCCCUUUGAAACAAAGCUAAAAAGUGAUUUUGAGAUAUGUAUUUUACAACCUUUUUCAUUAAAUAUACAACCUUUAAUAUUUCUUUUAUUCAAUGUUCAUUUGCGGAUGAGAAAAAAAAAAAAAAAAAAAAAAAAAAAGAUAUGAUAAUAAAGAAAGAUAGCCAUUUCAUAAUCAUUUUCCUCUCUUGGUCUAUGAGAAUCUAUGGCCUCCUGGACAUUUUUUAGGAAGAGGGGUUCCACACAAUGAAGGAUUACCAACAAAAACUGAUGGAUCAUUGAACUUUUUGAGCCCUUCAGGAAUUUUUCCUUCCAAAUUGUUGUAGGAUAAAUUUAACCGCACCAAUGAAUUCAAAGUAGCCAAGCUUUGAGGGAUCGGCCCAGAAAGAUGGUUAUAUGACAGAUCAAGUGAUUCCAAGUCUGUAAGUUCUCCAAUUUUCUCAUUAAUCUUUCCACUUAUCUGAUUUCUUGACAGGUUCAAGAAUCGCAACCCAUGAAGGUUUAUUACCUCAUCAGGAAUUUCUCCAGUUAGAUUAUUUCUAGAAAGGUCAAUUCCAUUAACUGCUGCAAAAAUGUUGUUAUAUUCAAGUGUUCUUCCUUUCAAUGCAACCAUUAGUAGUUGUAGAAAAACCUCAUUGUACUUACCACUGACCAUUCCUGUCAGGUUUCCAAUACAUUUUGGAACAGCACCUGAAAAUUUGUUGUCUGAAAGGUCUAAAAUGUGAAGAUUGUUGGGAUUACAUACUUCUUUGGGGAUUUCUCCAGUAAAUGAGUUUGAAUGAAGUUGUAACAUGAAUAAGGAAGCAAACCUUUCUCCUAUCCAAGAAGGUAAAUUUCCUGACAGGUUAUUUCUUCGAAGAUCAACACUCGUUAAUCCCGAGCAAUUUUGCAAUGAUGAAGGAAUCUCUCCAUCAAGAUUAUUGUUACUCAACAAUAAGACACUGAGGGAGGAUAAGGAACCAAAUGAACUUGGGAUUUUGCCUGUUAAAUUAUUGUUUGACACAUCAAUAGCCCAGAACAUUAGCUGAUGAGACCAACAGUUGGGAAUCUGUCCAGAAAGCUUGUUGCUUCUAAGGGAAAGAAUUUGCAAGCCAUUCAUAACACAAAAUGAUGAUGGAAUUGUACCAGAAAGAUGGUUUGAAGAAAGAUAUAACUUUUCGAGCCUUGGCAUUAGGCUACCGAUGUUUUCAGGUAUAGAACCUGAAAACAAGUUGUCCUGAAGGUAAAUAGUUGAUGCAUUUGUAGACCAAAAUGGAAGAGGACCCUCGAAAUGAUUAGAACUCAGAUCAAUAUACUUUAAAUUUGGAGAUUUCAUUUGAUUUGGCAGUUUUCCUUUGAUUUGAUUAUUUGACAGAACCAAGUAAGUGAUUUCAGAAGAUCGUUCCGAAAACCAUUCUGCUGGUAUAGUAUCUGAGAUUCCAACAUUUCUUAGAAUGACAGAGGUGAGUUCAUUUUGAACUUGAAGCCACAUAGGAAAGAAAGGACCUAUUACACAAUUUUCUAUUUGGAUGGAUUUGAGCCUGAAAUGAGGAAUCCACUUAUGAGACACAUUGAAGAUCAAAGACCUAGUAGGGAGGGUCGUGAGACGGAUAUUUUCUAAACUUCUGAGAUUUAUCAAGUGGGUUUCUGUCAAAAUGCCUUCCCAGGAAUUUGAAAUGAGGUCUACAUUCACUAACUUUGAGAGUUGACCAAAACUGUUAGGAAUUGUCCCAUUCAUAUUGUUAUAAGAAAGGUCCAAUUCCUUUAAAGAUGACAAUCUUCCUAUAGAUUCUGGAAUGGAACCCCAAAAAGAGUUUCCUGAAAGGUGAAGAUGCUGCAAAUUUUUAAGCACACCUAAUGAUUCAGGCAUUUCUCCUGUUAAUGAAUUAGAGUUCAAAUUUAAUGACACUAAGCUGUUGUUUUGAUUAUCCGCAAAACCACCUAAAAACUCAUGAACUUCACCAGUUAAACCAUUAGCAGAAAGAUCUAAGACCUUCAACUUACUUAGAUUACCAAGAAAACUAGGGAUAUGACCUCCAAAGUUCAAAUUAUUGGAUAAAUCAAGAACUUCCAAAGAUUUUAGUCUAGCAAAUUCACCAGGAAUUGGACCAGUGAAAAAGUUCCAUACAAGAUAAAGUCUUGUAAGGCUAGUAAGAUUGAAUAACCAUUGAGGAAUUGCAGAAUUGAAAGAGUUGUCUGAUAAAUCAAGAACAGAAAGAGAAGUGAAGUUGAUGGAAGAAAGUGAAAGUGGAAUAUUAUCAAGUUCACAGUAAUGCAAGUUUAACUCUAACAAAGAAGGAAGCAUAUUAAUAGCUUGAAGCCAAUCAGGCCCUACAUCUUUGAGCUUAACAUAGCCCAUAUUAAGGUACUUCAAAGAAGACAGAUCUGAAAGCCAGUGCAGACUGUCAGCGCGUAGCUCCAACGCGCCUGAAAUGCUAUACGAUCUUGCAUUAAGGUCAAGAUAUUGCAAUCGCCACAAAUUUCCAAGUUGAGAUGGAAUGAGUCCAGAAAAUGAUGAGAAAGAGAGGUUAAGGUAUCUCAAAUUUUCUAAUUCUCCCAAGAAUUCAGGAAUUUGAGCACCUUUGAAAUUAUUAAAGCUUAUAUCUAAAUACCUUAAGUAUUGUAACUCGAGUACAGAAGAACUAAUCUUACCACCCAAACAAGACUUCUCAUAAAUUUCUUGGUCACCAACUCCUCCAUUGAUUAACGUAUAAGGAUUUCGAAGGUCGAGAUUGAUGACAUGACCAGUUUGAUUAUUGCAUUUGAUUCCAUUCCCUUUGCAGCAAUCUUUUCCCUCCCAAGAGGAAAGUCUACCAAAAGGAUCAGUAAGGCCUUGUUUGAACACAACAAGAGCUUCUCUCUCUUUGUCGAUGCAUUGAACUUCAUCGCCCAAACAGAUCUUUAUAUGUGAAGAGAACAAAAAACACAAAACCAGAAGAAAGUGAAAAGGGUGACAAAUGGUUUCCAUAAAGGAAGAAUUAUUUUGCAGUGACAACUAAAUCUGCAAAUUGAGUUUAUAUAUAGAUUGGACUAUGAACAGAUAUAGUGUGAAAUGGGAAUUAGUGGAAAUGCCCAUAUGGGAAGUCAUGUGCCCAACAAUUAUAAAAUAUUAAGAAUGGGAAAGGUAGUGUUAGAUGACUAUGCUCUGUCCAUUAGUAUGGUGGUAUACCCACUUGCAUUUCUUAUUAACUGAAUUUGGCUUGUUUAACAUGUGGCUUACCAGAGACAUUUUGAGUUCCAAGUCAGGAAUUGCGUACUUCUUAAUUACAAAAUGUUGUCAUUCAAUAUCGAUAAGAGAAUUUCAAUAAACAAUACUCUCUCCGUACAAAAUAUAAGUUAUUUUUAUAUGAUUAUUUUAUCCUAAAAUAUAAGUCGGUUUGGUGUUGAGAUACAUGAUAAUUUGGUCAAAUCAUUCUUAGUUUUCUUAUAAUUUAGAAGCAUUAAUUGCUUCCUUAAUUUUUGUGUAAAAAUCUUUAGAGGGAUAAUGAUAAAUUUGAUAUCUCAACUUUAUGUUUUUUUUUAUUUUAGUGUCUUGCUGGAGAACAUUUGCAAUUGGUUGUAUUUACUUGUGAAAAUAUUCAAUUAAGUGGCUGUGUCCAUUUUUAAACACCAAAAAACUGACUCAGCAGUCGUGGAGCCUAUUUUUAAUAGGUGGCAGGCCAUGUGUAAUAAAGUGGAAUUUUUUUAAUCCACCUCAGCCCUUGUAUUAUGCGUGUACUUCGCCUUUACCCCUAAUUUAAUGCUCCCAAAGACCCAUCUAAAGAAAAAAGUUAUUUCAUCUUUUCAAAGGACCAUUAACCCCAUCUCUUAUAUUCCCAAACCAAAACUGUUUAGCGACUAAUCGUUAAAAAUACUCUAAAUUUUGCGGGUAAUUUUAAUUAUAUCCUAAAACUCCAUUGGUUUAUGUAAAAUGAAUUGUAAGAAAAUAUUUUUUAUAAUUUUCUGUUGUUUGUGGCAUUUAGAAAAAUAAGUCAAUGAAAAAUAUAUUUUUCUGGUCAAAGAAACAUUAAGUCAUUUUUAAAGAAAAUGACUUCUCAUUUUCAAGAGCGUAAAACAUUUUCCGGACUUUGACAAACUUAUUAUAACCUUAUAAAUAUUUUUUUUAAUUUAUUAAUCAUCGAUAACCACUAACACUACUCACCAUUCACCACUAACUACCACCACCGGCCACCGGCGACUUUCAUAAUUUACCCUUUUUUUGCUUUAUUCUCAUAUUUAAAAAUAAAAUUAUUAAAAUAUGCAAUUUAUAUUAUUAUUAUUGUUGUUGUUGUUGUUAUUGUUAUUGUUAUUUAAAAAAUUUAAUAUUUUUAAAUAAUUUUUAACAGUGCAACCAAAUAAGGGAAAAUAAGUCAUUUAGAAAAUAUUUUCCAAAGGUAAGUUAUUUUUCGGAAACAAACGGAGCCUAAAUCCAACUUUCUUCUCCUAGAAUCUUGAAUUUUAAUUUUAGUUACAAUAGCACCCUAAUUUCAAAUUAUACCCAAUUUAAUGAAUAGAAUAUUAUUUAUGAGACCUAGUUUAACCUUUUUUUCAAAUUAGAUUUCUUCCCACCACCGCUUAUAAAUAAAUAUAUAUAUUUAUAGAAAUAUUAAAAUAAAAAAUAAUCUAUUCAUCUUAAAAAUGAAAUACUUUUUUUUAUAAUAUUGACAACAAGUAAUAAUUCUUGAAAAAUAAAAUGAUGUCGUAAUAAAUAAAACUUAUUUUUAUAAGAGAUUUAACCUGAGUAUAAAUAAAAUUUUAUGCUUAAAAAAUUGCAAAACAAAAACCUAAACUAAUAUUUUAUGUUUAUAACUAACUAAAAUUUAUUAUUUUACUUGACUUUUUAUGAAUUUAAAUUCUUAACCAAUAUUAGCCAGAGCAUUGUUAAACAGUAAAUUUUUAGUUAACCUACCAUACAAGAGAGUAUAAUAUUUUAUUCAUUAAAUUGGAUACAAUUUGAAAUUAUGAUGCUAUUAUAACUAAAAUUGAAAUUCAGGGUACUAUGAAAAGAAAGUUGAAUUUACCUGUAAAGUUUGAGAUAUUUUUAAUGGUUUAGCUCCUCAGCUUGAUAGAACAUGAUCUCAUUACAAAAUUAGGGCAAGAUUCCAGUGAAGGAAAUUGAAUCAAGAAAAAUGCAGAUGAUGAUCAGAAGAAAAUUGAAUUAAGGAAAAUGCAGAGAUGAAUCAGUAUGAUGGUAGAUGAUUAAAUCGGUUCCAUCUGUAAGUGGUAAAAAUGAUAAAUGAUGAUAUUGAACGCAGAGAUGAAUAAAUAUGUUUCUGUGUUGCUAAAUGAAUAUUAGUUUGUUGGGUUUUGAAUCUGCAAAUUUCUUAUAUUAUCCUAAUGAUUUUGUAUAUGACAUUGUAAAUUGCCCCUUAUGUAAAGGAAUUUCAAUCUAUAAUUUUUUUUUCUCUUCCAUUCUUCCAUUUCUGAUAACGAGUAUUAAUGAUGUAAUUAAAUACAAAUCAAACAAUUCGAAGGAAAAGAACUCAUUUGAGUUUUUGUAAAAACGAAAUUCAAAUUUUAGGAAGAAAGUUUUUUUUUUUUUUCAAGAUAUGUAUUCAUCUUUGUUGUGUUGAUUCCAUUCUUCCAUUCUCUUCUUUCAUUUUCUUCUUUAAUCUUUUGAAAAUCAUUACAAAGUACGCAUAAUACAAGGGCUGAGGUGGAUUUAAAGUGAUUCCACUUCAUUACACAUGACCUGCCACCUAUUAAAAAUAGAUCCCGCAACUGCUGAGUCAGCUUUUCGAUGUUUAAAAAUGGCCACAACCUAAUUGAACAUUUUCACCGGUAAACACACCCAAUUGUAAAUGUUUCCGUCAAGACACUAAAAUAGAAAAAAAAAACGUAAAGUUGAGACACUAAAUUUAUCACUAUUUUAACCUUAAACAACUUGUAUUUUGAGACAAAAUGAGUAUAUAUGUAUCACGGGACUUGAGAUGUAGAAAAAAAACACAUAGAAAGAGGCAAUUACAACCCUCAAAACCAAAUUAAUCUUAUACUAUCUCCAUCUCAUAUGUAUAUAGACUGACUUUUUUUUAUUUGUCUCAAAAUAUAGUUAUAUUUUUUAAAAAAAUUAUUUAUUGUUUAAUUUUUUAAUAUACUCUUGUUUAAUGUACAUUUAUAUUUUUAAAUAAUUGUAUUACAUCAUUUAAUAUUAAUAGGUAAGUAUGUUAGAAAAUUACUAACCAAAAAAUAUAGUAUAACUAUAUUAAGUAGUUUUCUUUAAUCUAUGUGAAAGUCAAACUAAACCUUUAAAUAUAGGAUAAGGGAGGGAGUAUAGAAAAAAAAUAUAAUGAUAUUCAUAGAAAAAUAAAAGAAAGAUGCAUCCUAAUAAAAAAAAUGUUGACCUUCCUAAAAGUAUUGGAGAGAACCCUAGAGGCAUCAAUAGUGGGGGUAAUCAUUAUUCAAUGUAAAACUGCCAAAUUAAAUCGGACCAAAUCAAAUUAGCCAAUUUAAUUUAGUUUGGUUGCUAAAAAAAAAAUAGGUAGGUUUAUAAAUUUUGAAAAAAAUGAUUGACAGCUGAGUUUCAAUUUUUGAUUUCAAUAAUACAAACCAAACCAUAAUCAUAUAAUUAUAUACUCCCUCUGAUCUUUUACUUUAGAGAAAAUUUUCAUUUAGGGUGUUUGUGGUAUGUACAGAAUUUUACCCUAAAUGGAAAUUUUGGGAAGGAUGCAAAAGGAAAAGUCUAAAAUUCCCUUGAAUAAACUAUGUUGCUGCUUUUAUUCCCAGCUCAAUUAAUUGAGCAUAGUGGCAAACAAAAAAUAGAUUGGACAAUUACUGAUAUUAUGUUUUGAAAGCAUGCAUGAGUAACUGCUACGUUUAUGAGCAGUUUGGUAGAAAUAUGCUCGAUUUUACAGAUUUGAGCAUGAAUAAAUGUAAUACAUUAGUCAGGUAUCCUAAUAUGGUUACACAUUUUAAUUGUUGCGCGCUAUUCAUAAAAAAGUCUUUACAUCCAUAUUAUAUUUUUAAUUUGAGCACAAAUUUAAAAUUUUUCCAACAAACUUAAUUGUAACACUUGUUGACUAAAUUUGUAUUCAAUUUCCAAGAAGUGUGCAUAAUUUACGCACCAAGCACGAGUAUUUUUCUUAGGAGAUUAACAUAAAAUAGUCACAGAUUUAUAUUGUUACACUCUACUUUAAAAAAAAAAAAAUUCUUUUAUGUGAAUUAACUCUUACUAACAUGAACGCAAAAGUUUGCUUUUAAGUUCUCAUAUCUAUUGAUUCAUUCAAUGGCAAAACAAAUUUUAGCAAAAUGAUAACAUGUGUCUGACAAUUGUGGUCUAUAUCAUGAUGUCUACGAAUAAUUUUCUUUUUACUAGUGUCCUAUUUUUAAAAACAAUGUAAAUCUACUACUUUUGAAGUUGAAGAGACUCCUACAAUCUUCAAAGAUUUUGGCUAAUAAAAAAAAAACAGUUUAAUAUCAGCUUGAAAAAUUUAUAAACCCUAAUUAUCAUUUUGGUUUGAAAGUUCCUUCAAACCGUCCUAAACCAGACCAUGUAUACCUGCACUUCUGAGAUAUGUGUAGCAAAUGUUUGAAAAAUUUGUACAGUUUUCCAAUUCCUUAACUGUUGGUCAGUUAUCAUUUAUACCACAACUCAAUGAUCAAUUUUGUGUUAUCCAUUAUCGACGACUCAGAUUUUAAAGACGAUAUUUUCCUUGCCAAUUCAAAACGGCAGUUCCACUUUCUCAAUCUGAAAAAUGCAACUUCAAUUUUCUUAUAUUGCGGCACGUUGGGAUUUGAUUUAGCUAUUAUAUAUUUUAUAUUUAUACUAUAUAUAAAUGUGAGUAAAUGGAAAAAUAAUGAAAUUUCUUAUAUCGUACUUAACGAAAUUUAAAUGUUCUAAACUAACAUUAGUCAUAAGCCAAUUGAAUUAUUAUAUUUUAUUAGUUGAUUGGAUAUAUUUAUAAAAAUUAUUUUUUAAAUAAAUACAUAUAGACAUUUAGGCAUUUCAAGAUUUUAAGAUUUUCUUUCCUAAAUUUAUUUUUUAAUAAAUAUAUAUCAUAAUUUUUUAAAUAUUUGAUUCUAUUUUGAUUAUAAUUUAAAAUAAUUUUAUUUAGGAAGGAGGUAAAAAAAGAAAAAAGUAUACUUUUUUGUGUUUAUAUGAUUUGAUUGGAUAUACUUUUUAAAAAAUAAAUAUACGUAAUAUUUUAUUUAGGAGAGAGAUAUAAAAAAUAAAAAUAUAUAUUCUUUUUCUUUCUGUAUGAUUAUAGAGAAAAUUCAGGGUUUAUUUGGAGAGAAUAUAACGUUUCUUUUAUGUAAUCUUUUCUUUACUACUUAAUUAACUUAUUUAUUUAUUUAUUUUAAAUUUACAACUUAAAAUAAUAUAGAAAUAAAAUACUCUAAUAAACUCAUUAACCGACCAUCUAUUGAAUCCUAGCAUGAUUUUGUUUUGUCAUUUUCAUUUAUUGACUUGGCUUUAUUUUAUUUUAUUUUUGUCCAUCAACAUUAAAUUUCAUUAAAUUAUAGUCUUUCUAGAGUUAUUUUUGAAAUCCAAAUUGAUUAUUUUUUUAAUAUAAUUUAUUUCUUGUUAUACGUUGAGUUCUUAAAUGAGUUUUAUUCAUAAUAAUAAUUUUUAUUUUAUUUUUCAUUAUUGAAUUAAUUUGUAAUCACUAUCACUUUAAUUUAGUAAGAGAUUCGUAUCUCUCUUACAAUAACUAGAUAGCAUCUUGAUUAACUAUUUUUAAUUUUCUUGAUAUUUUUUCAUUUAUAUCCUAAAUCUGUUUGACUUGAACGAAAAUAGUAUUUAUGAAAUUAAAACAAAAUUAAAACUAUAUAUUUUUUAGACCACUUUAUUUUUUAAAAGUAGAAUUAAGUACAUAAAAAAUAACAUUACAAGUAGCUCAUACGGCAAAGUUUAAUACAAAUUAACUAAUUAUUUUUAUUUUUAUUUAAAUAAAAACUUAUGCUUUAAUAUUAUGUAGAUAAAAAAUUAAAAGACAAUGAGUAUUGUUACUGUGUGGUCAUUAAAAAAAGACUGAUAAAUAUAAAUAGAUAGAUACAUAUGCAAAGAAAACAAAUUUUAAUUUUCAUUAUAUGAACAUGUGCAACUGAAUUUUACCUCUUUUAUUCUACUAUCUAAUGGCUAAGUUUUAAACAAUAAAAUCUAAUACUAAAAAUUAAAAAAAAAAUGGUGGUCCAAUUAGAUCAGCCCAUGGGGCCAUACGGAUCCAAGUGGCACCGGCCUGUUAUCCUUCCACUGCCAGGAGCGGGAGGUGGUCGCUGCUCUGUGAAACCAGCCUGACGCGGUGUCCUCCACUCCACGAUUCCUGUAGUUCAAGCCUUCGCUUGAGCCACAGGAGUCAACUCUCAGCUUGGAACGGGCAGGCCAGAGGUUAGCCAAAUGAAUCCAACCCGCUGGUGCUAAAUUAAUGUCCCAUCAAUUUCAUGCCCCACUAAGGUCACAAGCCCACGUUACUGGACUCGGCGGUGCAGCUCGCCUCAAAUGUAUAAUAUAAAGGACAAUUGUUUUUAGCUUCUGCUCGAUGUGGGAUUGGAUUCAUUAAGUUUUUCAUCUUUCUCGUUGUGUUACUUUUGUUUAAUCGGUGUUAUAAAUGGAUUUUUGAAGUUAUAAAGUAAUCUUGUGUUUUUUAAUUUUGUUUUUUUUUAAAUUAAUUUGUGUAUCUUAUAUGACCUAUUAAAUAUAAAUUUAUUAGAAAAUUAUCUAUCGCUGUUGCUGUGUUGGGAAACAGUUUUUUAAGUAGUUUUGUCAAAACACUGAACAUUAUUUUUUAAAUAUUAGAACUAAUUUUUAAAGAAUAAGAUAGCGUUUUAUAAAAUGUUAAAUACUAUAACAUGUAAUUUUUAGUGUUUUUCUACUUUAAAAUAACUAACUGCUAUUAAAACAACUAAUAGCUAAUAACUACCAAAACAGUUAGAUGGCCUCUUGACUAAGCAUUUUUAAUUUUCUUGAUAUUUUUUCGUUCAUAUCCUAAAUCUGUUUGACUUGAACAAAAAUAGUAUUUAUGAAAUUGAAAAGAAAACUAAAACUAUGUAUUUUUAUUUUGGGUCAUUUUUUGGGUUUCAAGAAUUUGUGUGUGUUCAUAUAUUCCUUUCUCUAAUGCACUGGGUAAGUAAUACUAUUAUUAUUGCCAAAAUGAUUAUCAUUAUUGAUUCAUAUCAUCUUCUCAUUUAUUUUUUUUACCUAGCAGUAAAACAUAAUUUAUUAUUAUUUUUCAUUAUGGUCGUAUAUAGAUAUUGAUUUAAGAUUGAUGGCAAAUGGUUGGGGAUUGAGUGAUAACUUGAUUUUCUUUUUUGGAACCUAUCAAGGUUUAAGAAUCUGCAUUUAUAAAUUAAGGAUUGAAGGAUUAGGCAUAGGAUUAAAUUAAAUUUUAUUUUGAGACCACUUUAUUUUUUAAGUACAUAAGAAAUAACAUUGCAAGUAGCUCCUACGGCAAAGUCUAAUACAAAUUAACCAAUUGUAUUUAUUUUUAUCUAAAUAAAAAUUAUGCUUUAAUAUUAUGUAGAUAAAAAAUUAAAAGAUAAUGAGUAUUGUUAGCGUGUGGUCAUAAAAAAAAUACUAAUAAAUAUAAAUAGAUAGAUACAUAUGCAAAGAAAACAAAAUUUAACUUUCAUUAUAUGAAUAUGUGCAACUGAAUUUUACCAAUAACUUCAAUUAAUGUCGGAACAAUAUAUUAUUUUUAAGUAUAGUUCUUAAUUGAUAUAAUAAAUAAAUAACAAUUAUUUAAUUGUUUAAAAAUUAAAUUUAAAAUAUAAUAAUAAUAAUAAUAAUAAUAAUAAUAAUAAUAAUAAUAGUUUGAAAAAUAGUCUUCUUCUGCCACGAACUCAUAAUUGCUUGACUUACAUUUCAUCUUUUGCCCUGACCCACCAUUGGCAAGGAAACUACAAAAUGCAGAGCAGUUAAAUUGAAAGUAUAAACUGCAAAAUAGAAUUGGUUGAUUUCACUUUAUUUAUUUUCAGCCUUUAAACAUAAAUAUAUAUUAAAUUUUAGUUUCAAAUUAUAAUUAAGAAAAAGCUUUUACCAAAUCAAACAUAUUAAAUUAAUAUUCUCUUUUAUUAAUUUAGUUGUGGGCGGUUACUACAAUACAUAUUUAAAAAGUUCUUAAUGGAUAGAGAAACUAUAAUUUUAUGCCAUUUGACAUCCUACCUUUAGUAUAGCAAGUACAUAUCACUAAUUAUAUAAGGUUUUUUUUUUUAUUCUUUACAAAUUUCAUUUUUUCUUCUUUUGGUAGAAAAAAACGUCUUUUUAAAUUACUGUUAAAGAAAUACAUAUCAUUUUUUUUAAUUAUAUAUUUUUUUCAAUUUCAUUUUCGAUAAAUAUUUUCUUAAACUGUUAAAAAUAUUUUUUAUAAAUUAAAUUUUAUUUAUUUUAAUAAUUUUAAUCACAUUCUCGUAAGUAAAAAAAAUUUAAUUACGUCCGCUACUUCUUAAAUAUAUAUUAUAAUAUUAUAAAUCAAGUAAAGGAGAAUUUUAAAAAAUAAUUGAAAUGAUGUGUAAAUUAAAAUAUUAAAUUUAAUAAAGUGACACAAUUGCUUUUACAAAGGCUAAUAGCUAAUAAUGAAAUAUUAAUAUAAAUAUUUAAAAUAAUGAAAAUUAACCCAUUAAUAUUAAUAUAUUCAUUAGGAGAAUAAACAAGAAUGUUUAAUGAUAUACAUUUAUAAAAAUUUAUAUUGCAUAAUACAUGUGUUUUGAAUUUUCCUAUACAAAUAAAAGUAGGCUUUCAGAAAAUAAAAUUGAUGAAAUUGAUUUUGGGUUAAUAAAUAAAUAUUUAAUAGCAAUUAAGCAAUAUUUUUAUUUUUAAACUAAGUAAGAGUUUUUUUUACCUAUAUAGUUAGGUGGCUUCUCUUUCACUCUACUAUCCAAUGGCUACGUUUUAUAACAACAAAAUCUAAUACUAAAAAUUGAUGGUCCAAUUAGAUCAGCCCAUUGGGCCAUACGGAUCCAAGUGACACCGGCCUGUUAUCCUUCCACUGCCAGGAGCGGGAGGUGGUCGCUGCUCUGUGAAACCAGCCUGACGCGGUGCCCUCAACUCUACGAUUCAUGUGGUUCAUCAAGCCUUUGAAAUCGGUGUUACUUUCUUACAUAACAUACAGAAAUACAAAUAGGACACAUGAGACCUACUUUAUAUAUUAAAAUGUGAUGAUUCAGCUUUGACUAAUGAAGCCAUAAACGAAUGAAAAAAGAAAAGCAAAAUGCAAAACUCUAUGAUCCAAACAAUAUAAAUGAAUCUAACUCAUGACCUGCAAUAUAGGAAAAGAAGAUAAGAAAACUGUAAGUUCCAUCACAUCUAGUAAACAUGGCAUCCAGUAAAACAAUAAGGCCCCACCUUAAUGUAAUGGCAUACUAUAAACUAGUGAGAAAAUUUUGGAUAAAUAAUAAAUUUAGUGUCUCAACUUUCAAUUUUUAAUUAUUUUAGUUUUUGAACAAAAAAUAUGUGCAAUUGAGUGCAAAUUUUUAAAAAAAUACAAUCAAGUGUCAUUUGUUGAUGUAGGUGUCAAAAAACUGACCCAUCACAAGUAGGACCCACAUUUGUCCAGUCACUAGCCUAAGUGGAAUGACACCAAAUUGCUGACUAUGAAAAAACUAAAUCUGACUUGGCAAACUCUACGGAUUCACAUUAUUGUCCUAAUUUCUCUCCACCAAAUCUUUCUGCUUCUCUUCUUCACCAGCAAAAUUUUCCUCUCCUUCACCAACAACUGCUGAAUCUCUACACUCCACAUAUAAAAUCAUCGCCAAAACUUGCAUUUUCAGCCACAAAAUCUAUAUUUUAAAUAGCUAGGUGAUGAAUGGGAAAUCCAAUUUGUUCUUUCUUCUCUUCUUCAAUGAAUUAAUGUUUUUGUAUCGCUUCUUUACCAUUUUUCUAGUUCUUUUCGCUUUGAAUAAUCAUUGUUGUCCUUUCUAUUCUCUUAGAGGUGUGAUUGCCCGUAUUAUUCAAACCCCUUUUGGGGCCUUUUUCGUUUGUAAAUCAAGAAGCCUAAAUCAGCUCGAGGACCUUGCGUUUAUCAAAUACAGCUUCAAUUCUCUUAAAUCCUCUAUCUUGAAUAAAAUCCUCUUAAAUUGUGAGAUUCUUUCUCCUAAAGUCGUGGACUUAUUGCUCAAACUUGACUAUUUUAAGGUAUAUCAUCUUCCUUUUUAUCUUUUGGAAAACGUAUUUUUUCUUUUGGUUUAAUAUAUGGCCGUUACUGAUUAGGUAGUGACCCCAUGAUUCAUUUGAGUCGAUAAUUUUCUGUGGCUUUUAUUUCGGUCAAUAAUUUCCUUUCAUUGUUGCCCUGGCAUACAGUAUGUUGCCUCACACAAGUCAGCAGCAACGGUGGCCAUUGCCUGGAGGAGGAAGAUAAUGGUUACUAUCACAAGCAAGACCAAGAGGACGGAGCUAUAAUAAUUUAUAUACAAAUGGUUAAUUUAUUUUAAUUCUUUUUUUGGUUUUCUAUAAAUUUUUUUAGGAGAAUUGGAUUGUGGUAUUUAAGAGAAAUUUAUGGAUUGUUAUUUUUUAGAAUUUGAUUUUCGAUGUUUAAGGCUUUUGAGACUAGAAAAAAAAGCAGAGAGAAAUAUAUUAGGAAAGCGAAAGGGAAGAGAGAGAAAGAAAGGAGGAUUGAAGGAGAGGGAGAGGGAGAAGAGAGUAAAGAGAAAAGAGAAGGAUAAAUGAUAAAGAAAGAGCGGAUUUAAAAGAUGAGGCGGUGGUGGCGGGCAAAAGUAGCGGUUCAUGUAGGCACUGGGAUCCAGUGAUGCUGAUGUUGGUGGUAAUGAUGGUUUGCGACGGAGGUUAAGCCAUCUGCGUAAGAGAGGCUUCUUCUCUAAACGCAUUAGAUUAAGGGUGACAAAGUCAUUUCAUUGUUUUUGCCAUGUUGCUCAAUUAUUUGUCCAUACAAUUGAUUUGCUGCCUGUCAACGUGACCGGUUCAAGAUAUUUAAAAUUUUAAAACGAAAUUGACCCUUAAACUUUUGAUUUUAGUCCGGUUUUAAUUUCGACAUGAUUUUGGCAUGGUUCCGAUGAACUAACGGUUCAAAUUACAGUUUCGAUUCAGUUUUAGUAUUACACAAAUUUUAAAAAAAAUAAUAAAUUUUUGAUUUCAAAUUCAUAAAUAAAUAAUAAUUUUAAAAUGCUUAGAUUUUAUUAACUAAAUAAAUUAUUAUAAAAUUUUAAAAGAAAAACUUCUAUUAACUUAGAACUAUCGUAACAUUAAAUUUACAAAUUUUGCUAACUCACUAAUAUAGAAAAUUAUAGUUUUUUUUUUUAUUUUGGGCUUGAAUUAAGUUAAAAUUGAAAAAUUGUCUACGUAUCAUCUUGGGAAUUAGAGAAAAUCAAAGCCCACGUAGUUCUUUUUUUUAUUACAAUGGAAAAUAACCUCACAAUUAUUACAAUUAAUUUUAGUCAUCAGUGCCACUAGUCCCUGUUAAUGAGCCAGAAUAAUCAUCAUCGCUUGAAUUUUGUUGGUUUUGAGUUCUCAAUGCCACUUUAGUCCAAUCGUGAACACAUUCUUGCAUUUCCACAUUAUUUGGCGAUAAUCUUGAUUGUGUUGGAUCUAAAAUUUGUCCACCCACACUAAAAACUUGUUCCACUGCAACAGUAGAAAUUAGAUAAGCAAGAAUAUCUUUUUCAAUUGAAGCUAAGACUAGAAAGCGAUUUGCAUGCUUUUUCCACCAAUCCAAAAUAUUAAAUUUUGUUGGGUUUUCAUCCGCAUCAUCACCUAAAAACUCAAAAUCUAUGCUAAUACAUGUCUCAAUUUCUGUGUAUGAAUGUGGACCUUCCCUUAAUUUUUUUGAAACAUUUUGCAUGAAAGUAAAUUGUGUAGAAUAAAAUUUAGUGGAUUGUGUANNNNNNNNNNUAGUUUGUGGAUCUGAUACUUGAGGAAGGGGAGAUACUAAUUUAGAAUACUCAUCAUACAAUUGACGGACAUAUCUUAAAACAUUAUUAAUAAGAGAAAAAUAAUCUACUUCGAUAUUAAAAGAUCCAUAAUAAAAACGAAAAAAAUUUUUGUAAUGCAACUAACUUAAAUCUAGGACAAAGAAAAAAUACAACUAAAUUUAAAUUCAGAAUUGCAGUAUAAUAUUUUAACCAUUUAGUUUUCAUCAUGAAUAUACAUUCUUGUAAAUCAUCAUCAUUUUCAUUUUCAAUUAUGACACCACUUAUGGCUAAACAAUGAAAUGGAAAUAAAUGGGAAGUAGGAUAAUAAACACCAUUAAAAAUUUUUGUACAAUUUUUAAAAACUUGCAAAAUAUCUAAUAUUUUUUUACAAAUAGUCCAAUUGGUUGGAUAAAGUUGAAAAUGUGAUGCAUGCAAUUGCAUAAAUGAAGAAAGAAUAUCUUUAUAUACAUAAGACUUAUUUAACAUUUUAUGAAUGGAAAAAUUGAGAUUAGAAGGAAUUGAGAAUCGGAUGUAUGAAAAUAAAAAAUAAAAAAUAAAAAAUAAACACAAGAUAAUUCAAUAUUAAGAAAAAUAAAGCGAUAGAAAAAAUAAUGAACUAUGUACAUUUGAGAGAAUUUUGAUUGAGAAUAAAAGGAGAGUUAAAAUAUAAUUGGUUGUGAAAAAAAAUCAUCAACUCAUCAUAUUUAUACAUAUUUUUCAUUUUUUUAGUUUUCCAAAUUGUCUCUUAUUAUAGAAAAGUAACAACUAUAUUUUUGGAUAAUUUAGUAAAUUAUAAUAAAUAAAUAAUUGAUUAAAAAUGAAUAAAAUUUAUUUACCAAAAAUAAAAAAAUUAAAAGUCAUCUCAAGAUCUCAGCUAGCCGUUUGUACCUUUUUUUUGUACACAUAAAAUUAUUUUUUUUUACAACUCAACUAUUCAUGUACCAUUUUUUGCACAAAUUAAAUCAAAUCAUGUGUACUUUUUUCAUCACUUUUUAUAAAUUAUAUAUCAUUGUGUACUUCUCUUCACCAUAAAUCGGAUCAACUACAAUCAAAUCAAGUGAUAUAAAUUUUUUUAUAAAAAAUUUUAAGCUACAAAUAAUUUUAUUUGUGCAUUCGGUUCAAACCUUUAAAUCGUCGAUUUGAAUCCGGUUCUAGUUAAUUUACAGUACGAUUCGAUUUCGGUUAAAACCGAACCGAUGGCCAUGCCUAUGUCUAUGUAUGCAACUAACUCAGCAAACGUGGGACCAAAUUGGUAUUUGUUAGCUUUCUGGCAUCCAUGUCAACAAAUGACACUCAAUUGUAAAUUUUAAAAAGUUUAAUCACUCAGAUUGCAAGUAUUUUCCAUUCAGACACCAAAAUAGUAAAAAUUCAAAAGUUCAGAACUAAAUUUAUAAUUUACCCGAAAUUUGCUAAAAUCGUGAUUGGACUAUAACAUCAAACAACCCACAUAUUCUUAGAAGUUCUCUACUGUAAACUAGCAAAGGUUUUGGAAGCGUGUACUGCACCAUUGUAUACUAAGGAUAAAGCUCAGUAGGGAUAUUAGUCUCAGAGAUCAUAGCACAGCGAGGAGGGAAAUGAUUGCGCUGGAAACAAAAGGGGCAGAUCCAGAUCUUACCGGUGACAUAGACAUGGCCGAAAGAAGUGUGCAAUACUUGUUGAAGUGUGCAAUAAUUAACUAAAUUUGUAUUCAAUUUCCAAGAAGUGUGCAAUAAUUUAUGCAUGAAGCACCGAGUAUUUUUCUUGGGAGAUUAACAUAAAAUAGUCACAGAUUUUUAUUAUUACACUCUACUUUUAAAAAAAUUUCCUUUAUAUGAAUUAACUCUUACUAAUAUGUACACAAAAUUUUACUUUUAAGUUCUCAUAUCUAUUGAUUCAUUCAAUGGCAGAACAAACUUUAGCAAAAUGAUAGCAUAUGUCUGACAAUUGUGGUCUAUUUCGUGAUGUCUAAGAAUAAUUUUCUUCUUACUAGUGUCCUAUUUUCAAAAACGAUGUAAAUCUAUUAAUUUUGAAGUUGAAGAGACUCUCACAAUUCUCAAAGAUUUUGGCUAAUAAAUUCACAUUUAAAAUACUCUAUUAAUGAGUUGAUUUCUUCACCAUUAAUUAUGUAUUUAAGAUUGAUUAGGAGUAUUAUAGCCAAAAAAUGGGUAAAUAUUUCUGUUUAACUACUUUCUUAAUCCUAGAAUAUUUUAUGUUUUCUCUAAAAUGUGAGAGUAGUAUAAUAUAGUAAACAAAAGUUAUAUGAAUUGUGAUAUAUAAAAAUAUUUUAUUUACAUUAGUAACCAAUGCAAUAUAUACAAGUGGAGGAAAGAGAAUUUUGAAGUGCAUUAAAGUUCAAGAGUUUAUAUCAUUUUGUUUGUAUGUUUAAUAAUUUUUAUAUCAACUUUAACAGUAUUAAUAUGUUAUGUUAUUUAAACUUGAUCAAACCGUUUUACAAAACUGUAUCAUUUUAGUUCGAUUUGAGAUAAAAAAAAAAAAAAAGAUUUAUAUCUCCCUUGCAAUAAAUAGAUGGCCUCUUGACUAACCAUUUUUAAUAUUCUUGAUAUUUUUUCGUUUAUCCUAAAUCUGUUUGACUUGAAUGAAAAUAUUAUUUAUGAAAUUAAAAAAAAAUUAAAACUAUAUAUUUUUGAGACCACUUUAUUUUUUAAAAAUAGAAUUAAAUACAUAAGAAAUAACAAUGCAAAUAGCUCAUACGGCAAAAUCUAAUAUAAAUUAAUCAAUUGUAUUUAUUUUUAUCUAAAUAAAAACUUAUACUUUAAUAUAUAAAAAAUUAAAAGAUAAUGAGUAUUGUUACCGUGUGGUCAUUAAAAAAAGACUAAUAAAUAUAAAUAGAUAGAUACAUAUACAAAGAAAACAAAAUUCAAUUUUCAUUAUAUGAACAUGUGCAACUGAAUUUUACCUCUUUUAUUCUCCUAUCCAAUGGCUAAGUUUUAAACAAUAAAAUCUAAUACUAAAAAUUAAAAAAAAAAUGAUGGUCCAAUUUCAUCAGCCCAUUGGGCCAUACGGAUCCGAGUGGCACCGGCCUGUUAUCCUUCCACUGCCAGGAGCGGGAGGUGGUCGCUGCUCUGUGAAACCAGCCUGACGCGGUGCCCUCCACUCUACGGUUCAUGUAGUUCAAAGCCUUCGCUUGAGCCACAGGAGCCAACUCUCAGCUUGGAACGGGCAGGCCAGAACUUAGCCUAACGAACCCAACCCGCUGGCGCUGAAUCAUUGUCCCAUCAAUUUCAUGCCCCCACUUGGGUCACAAGCCCACGCUACUGGACUCGGCGGU